AUGCACAUACAACAUCGAAUAACCAGGAAAUCUUCUCCCCUCAGUAGUGCAAAAGCUUGGAGGGAGAGAGAUGAGAGUGAGGAGAUGAGUGAGAGGAGCUUAAGUCCAAAAUUUAACCCCUAAAAACUAUAUAAUCCAUCAAUCAAAUCCCAUAAGUAUAAUGAGUCUAGGUAAUUUUACCACAAAUCUUUUUGUAUGUAAAUAAAUUUCAGGUUCAGAUGCAGGUGCCCUUCUUGUAAAUUUGGGAGCUCUAGUUUGGGGGGGAUGGGGUAGAAGAAAUCUAGGGGGUGGGGAUCAGGGACAGAGGGCACAAGAAACACAAAGUUUAGCCCUCUUGUAUGAAUCAAUUUUUUCAUGAGUCCCUUUGCCUUCCUUCUGGAUUAGAUAUUCAAUUAGGUUGGAGGGAGGGGAGGGGUUGGGAAUUAGUUAGGUACCUGUCCUAGUUCAUCUGUCAUCAUGCUUAUUUUUGGUUUAUGAUGGAAUUGUUUUUGUCCAUGCAACCAAGAAAUCCAGGGCCAAGCAAGGCCAUGGAGAUGUGUACAAAAGAGUGGCUACAAGAAGAGAAGAGAGAGCAGCUAGGUUUAAGUCAAGUCAAUGAGUGAGUUGUGUGAGAGGCAUGAAUGAUGUAUUCGUGAUAUCGUUUUCUCCGUAUAUGUAAUAUAUCGUUUCAUUGAAGCAGUAUGUGUAAUAUCUCAUGCCAUGAUUAUCACCAGCCCUUGUGACAUCUUUUAUUUUAUGGAUUUUUUCGUCCCCUCUCAUUUUCUUGGUGGUUGGUUGAUUGAAUCGUAUGGAGCCCCAUCACAACACAUGGUUUCCAUGUGCUGAAGCAACACGUAGGUGAUAAGGAUGGUGACUAGCCAAUGACUAACGCAAAAGAGCCUGCCUGAGUGGCUAAUAAUCUCAAGCUGGCUCAUGGGGAUUUGAAGGGCCAAAGAUGAAAUACCAUGUUUUUUUUUCUUGUGGCCUUCACCCCAUAUGUCCUUUUCUUUGAGAUGUGCUAUGUGGUACUAGUACUGAAUCUUUUGUGUUGAAUCCACUGGAUUUAUUGGGGCAGUCAAUCAAUCAACCAAGUUGUUGACGCAGAUGCUCUGCCAGCUGCAACGGUGAACAAGUUGUACUAUUUACCACCAGUAAAAUGCAGGCAGAGAAAGCAUGCAGCACACGUUCUUAUCUUUACCUGCUGCGAGUCAAAAUCCACAUGCUUUGUGGCGUCUUGUGCCUGCCACAAGGUGAGACGUAGAUGCAGUGAUCUCACCUCAAAAGGUGUGAAGCUGAGAGGGAAAAGUAGACAGGAGGAUGCAAGCAAGGGGCAUGGCAACUUGAGUGCACUUGAGGACAGAUUCAAACGCAGGAUUUCACCGGAAGUAAAGUAAUCUUUUUUUUUUGAAUGUUGGCAGGAGGACUGCCAAAUUCAUUGAUCAGAAGAGGAGUAACAAGAACACCUCCAAAGGAGGAAAGCACCGCAAAAGGGCUAGUGCAGAAAGAAAAGAAAGAAAACAGAAACCCGCCGGCACCAACACAAACCCAAGAUCCGCCAGCAACCAUGCACACCAUCGGAAUCCAUCGUCGAGGCCUCCAAGAUGACGCCUCCAAGAAGGAAGUGGUAUCGAGAACACCGCCGUCAUCCGAUCUAGCUCCGCCAGAUCUUAGGUUUUCACCCGGAGACCUCAGCCAUGAGGCAGGAAGAGCAAUGAGCUCCACGGCGGCACUUCCAAGGAACAAGACGACAUCCAUAGAUGCCGUUACCGUCGGCACCGACGAAGUCGAUGCAGGAUUUUCAUCCGGAGCUAAGCCUUCCGCCAAUCAUCCAGGAUCCGAGACCAAAUCAGCACCACCGGGCAGAACAAGGCCAAGCACACACUACCAGACAACGGGAUAGUCGCCGCCGCACGCAGAACCUAGGCAAGCACACGUCAACCUGGCCGGUCCGCACCGCCGCUCGCAGGACCUGGGCGAACCCAAUCGACUCCGGCCGUCCUUCAGCUCCGUGCGCAGACCUGGGCGAGACUUCGCACCGCAGCGCACCAGGAGAGACUGAAGUAGAACCAUCGCUGACCGGCCCGCACCGCAGCGCGCCGAAACAGAGCAAAAACCAGGCCAAAACUUAACGUGCUCGCACCGCCGCGCGCAAGGACUGGACCUCCGUGCUGGAUCUGGUCUGCCCGAGCUUCCUCAAGCACCAACAUGCUGGACGGCACCCCUGCUCCAGGAGCUGGGCGUGCACACGCUUGCAAGGGGAAACCACCAGCAUCCACCGGCACCACCGCUCCCGCCUCUCCAAUCCAGGCGCCACCGGCCAUCGAGAUCUGGGCGCAGGACCGCCCAAAAUCAGAUCGGGCUUGGAGCCCCUCACCGCCGUGUCGCCCCAAACUCCGCCUGGCCCGCGCCGUAGCCGCAGCGGGCCACCCACCGCGCGCCGUCCAGGGCCAUCGCGUCGCCUAGGGCCGUCGCUAGCGCGCGAGNNNNNNNNNNNNNNNNNNNNNNNNNNNNNNNNNNNNNNNNNNNNNNNNNNNNNNNNNNNNNNNNNNNNNNNNNNNNNNNNNNNNNNNNNNNNNNNNNNNNNNNNNNNNNNNNNNNNNNNNNNNNNNNNNNNNNNNNNNNNNNNNNNNNNNNNNNNNNNNNNNNNNNNNNNNNNNNNNNNNNNNNNNNNNNNNNNNNNNNNNNNNNNNNNNNNNNNNNNNNNNNNNNNNNNNNNNNNNNNNNNNNNNNNNNNNNNNNNNNNNNNNNNNNNNNNNNNNNNNNNNNNNNNNNNNNNNNNNNNNNNNNNNNNNNNNNNNNNNNNNNNNNNNNNNNNNNNNNNNNNNNNNNNNNNNNNNNNNNNNNNNNNNNNNNNNNNNNNNNNNNNNNNNNNNNNNNNNNNNNNNNNNNNNNNNNNNNNNNNNNNNNNNNNNNNNNNNNNNNNNNNNNNNNNNNNNNNNNNNNNNNNNNNNNNNNNNNNNNNNNNNNNNNNNNNNNNNNNNNNNNNNNNNNNNNNNNNNNNNNNNNNNNNNNNNNCGCCACCUUCACAGGAGCCGGCACGGACUUCGCCGGCCGCUCCUCCGGCAGCGGCGAGCCGAGGGAAGGGAGGAAAGGGAGGAGCGGCGCCUCGAUCUAGGGUUUCCCCCGUGUCGCCAGGGAAGGCGACGCGGGGGACGGGUUGUACUCCAAGCCCGAUCUGAUUUUGGGCAGCAGCCGCGCCCGCGCCGUCCGGCAGCCGCCGCGCCAAGCUCGUGGACGAAGAACAGGAAAGGGCCCCGCCGCCACCUUCACAGGAGCCGGCACGGACUUCGCCGGCCGCUCCUCCGGCAGCGGCGAGCCGAGGGAAGGGAGGAAAGGGAGGAGCGGCACCUCGAUCUAGGGUUUCCCCCGUGUUUGCCUGGCUUUGCGCCUUCGGUAAAGUAAUCUUUGUUUGGAUCUCAGGCUAGGCCUUCUCAAAAGGAGAAGAACGCUGCUACACAGACGACAAACGGCGGACGAUUUGCAGACGAUGUAGCACAUCAAGCCGCUCAUGUGUAAAGCAAAACUAAACAACACCGUUCGAUCCAACAUCGUCCAGUGUUCGGCCGGAGUACUGUGUAUAGUAGUUUCGAAAGGAGAAUAUAUAGUAGGAGUAGACCCUGAAGAUGCUUGAGAGAUUUUGUUUAUGUCUCAGCAUGACUCAAAUACAGAAAUAUAAAAGGAAGUAAAAACCCAUGUACACCUGCUAUUUACACUUCUCAAUUACUGCUGCUGGUCUGAUUUUUCCUCGCUAUCUUUGAGGUAAGACAGAGCACAAGCUCUCAACUCUUGAUAGCGUAAUCUUUGUUUUUUGUCAAAUUGGUUGUCAACCUCACACUUUCGGCUGGAAUUUGAGCACAAUCAGUGGAAUGAGAACUAACCUAAAAGCACAUGACGACCCCACCCGUCAGUGCUUGUCUCUCCUUUUCAACGAAAGAAAAUGUUUUAGCUUUAAAAAUGCAUGAUGACCGUUCAGCCGUCCAACUGGCAAGCUCCAAUGCGGGAGGAAAGGAAAAUGGUGAGGAAAGAGAUAUUUUUAACAUGAAUGGUGAGGAAAGAGAAUACUCCUCAGUCCUCACACACAUAUGUAGCACUCAGCAUCGGUCGUUUUUACUUUGCAUAUAAGAAUUUUUUGAAGUCAAACUUCGUAAUGUUUGACAUAUUUAUAUAAAAAAUGUCAACAUCUAUAAUACUAAAAUUAAAAUAUAUGAAAAUUAAAUCCAUGACGCAUCUAGCGUUAUUGAUUUCGUAUAAUGUUGAUAUUUUUCUCUAUAAAGAUGGUCAAACUUUACGAAGUUUGAAUUCACACAAAUGUGAAGUAAAAAGGACCGGAGGGAGUACCUCAAAUCCUCCCUAUACAUCCAGAGGACAGCCCUAUCAGUGUCCGGUCUUGAAAACUCGACCCAACCAAACCGUCAGCGAACGUCCGGGCUGUUCGGGAACCCCCAAUUCUCAACAUAUAUCUGGGGCGAAUAUGAGGCGGACCGGACAUGCCCGGACGCAACCACCAUAUCGGACCGGGCCACGCCGACCCGCGUCGACCCCAUCCCGUCCCCACAAAAAACUAAUCCAGACCAAAACCUAGUCCUCACUCUCUCACUCUUUGCUUUGUUCCACUGCUCGUGACCUCCCCUCCUCGAGAUCCAGGAGCACAUUCGACGACAGAUCGGGCAGAAAGGCGGAUCCCAUCGAUUGGGAUGCCAUGCUACGAGAGGACUCGGAGGAGGAGACAAUGAGGACCUCGCCCUCCGUGUCACACUGCAAUGUUCGUGUGUGAACAGGGGCGGUAGCUCGAGCUCCACUCCACCCUCAGUCGCUCGACGACGCAAUGCGGUCACCGGUGUCAGCCCAUUGCGGUGCCGGUCAAAAUCCACCGUCCCCCACGUCCCUCUCGCAUCCCUCCGCCCCUUCUCCACCUAGCCGAAGAUGGGUCCUCGAGCCCGCAUCAUUGAGCCCAUGGAGGAGGACGCCUGAAUCGGAGGCAUGGGUCGCACGCCAUGAGAGGCAGUGAGUCGCGCAGAGGAUGUUGGUGGUCAGUUCAUCUCGCACAUGUUGUGCUCCUGCAGGUCUACGUCGCUCGACCCGGAGGAACUACUCAUGCGCGACAUCAUCCUUCGUUCGCCGAACUCAGAGAUGAACGUGAGCGCCACCGCUAUAAGACCGUGAAGGCGCUCCAGCUCGGCAUCGAGGAGUCUGAGUGCCUUGCGAAGGAGAAGGGGGCCGCCGCGACAAAAGUGACAUGGUCAUGAAGGAGCAGGUCCACGCCGCUCGUUGUCUCGCCGACAUCAUCUCGUCCGCAUCGUCAUCCGACAACGACAUAAGGAGCCACGUCGACGAUGCCCUUCGACCACCGAAUCCUACGCGGAGCACUACUAUCGUUGAUCCGGUGACUACAAGGUAAGUGACCCACGAGGAAAUUGUGAAUUUUGGCGCCCACCCUUCUUCUGUUUAUCUAUCUAGCUAUAGUUUAGUUAUUACUUUGUUGGUAUGUUAAAUGUGACAUACUGAUACAUCUCCAACGUAUCUAUAAUUUUUGAUUGUUCCAUGCUAUUAUAUUACCCCUUUUGGAUGUUUAUGGUCCUUACUUUACACUUCUAUAACAUUUUUGGGACUAACCUACUAACCGGAGGCCCAGCCCGAAUUGAUGUUUUUUUGCCUAUUUCAGUGUUUCGAAGAAAAUGAAUAUCAAACGGAGUCCAAACAAAAUGAAACCUUCGGGAGCAAUUUUUUUUGGAACAAACACAAUCCAUGGGACUUGGAGUGGACGUCAAGCAACAGAGGAGGCGGCCACGAGGGUGCCCGGCGCGCUCCCUGGGGGUGGGCGUGCCCCCACCCUCGUGGGCCCCUCGAGCGUCCACCGACCUACUUCUUCCUCCUAUAUAUACCCACGUACCCUGAAAACAUCCAGAAGCACCACGAAAACCUAAUUCCACCGCCGCAACUUUCUGUAUCCGCGAGAUCCCAUCUUGGAGCCUUCGUCGGCGCUCCGCCGGAGGGGGAAUAAACCACGAAGGGCCUCUACAUCAUCUCCAAGGCCUCUCCUAUGAGUUGUGAGUAGUUUACCACAGACCUUCGGGUCUAUAGUUAUUAGCUAGAUGGCUUCUUCUCUCUCUUUGAAUCUCAAUACAAAGUUCUCCUUGAUCUUCUUGGAGAUCUAUCCGAUGUAACUCUUUUUGUGGUAUGUUUGUUGAGAUCUGAUGAAUUGUGGGUUUAUGAUCAAGUUUAUCUAUGAGAAAUAUUUGAAUCUCCUCUGAAUUCUUUUAUGUGUGAUUAAGUUAUCUUUGUAAGUCUCUUCGAAUUAUCGGUUUGGUUUGGCCUACUAGAUUGAUCUUUCUUGCAAUGGGAAGUGCUUAGCUUUGGGUUCAAUCUUGUGGUGUCCUUUCCCAGUUACAGCAGGGGCAGCAAGGCACGUAUUGUAUUGUUGCCAUCGAGGAUAAAAAGAUGGGGUUUAUAUCAUAUUGCAUGAGUUUAUCCCUCUACAUCAUGUCAUCUUUCUUAAUGCGUUACUCUGUUCUUAUGAACUUAAUACUCUAGAUGCAGGUAGGAGUCGGUCGAUGUAUGGAGUAAUAGUAGUAGAUGCAAAAUCGUUUCGAUCUACUUGUCACGGACGUGAUGCCUAUAUACAUGAUCAUGCCUAGAUAAUCUCAUAACUAUGCGCUUUUCUAUCAAUUGCUCGACAGUAAUUUGUUCACCCACCGUAAUACUUAUGCUAUCUUGUGAGAAGCCGCUAGUGAAACCUAUGGCCCCCGGGUCUAUCUUUUAUCAUAUAAGAUUUCAAUCUACUUUUAUUUGCAUCUUUACUUUUUUAAACGAGCCAGGCGUGUAGUUACUUUUAUUUGCAUCUUUACUUUUCAAUCUACUCAAGCUGGCUAGGCGUGUAGCGCCUAUCUGUGAGGCGUUGCAUAGUGUAGUGUGGCGCCUUCGUGUCGGGCGUCACACAAAAAGGUCAGCCGCGUGAAAUAGUUUCACGGGUAGUUCAUUCUGCGAUUUGAUUUCGCCCACAGGUCUAAUUUGUCAAAUUUUCCCCCUUCUCCACCUGGCCGAAUGGGUCCUCGAGCCCGCAUCGUCGAGCCCAUGGAUGAGGAUGCCUGAAUCAGAGGCAUGGGUCGCACGCCGCGAGAGGCAGUGAGUCACGCAGAGGACGGUGGUGGCUAUUUCAUCCCGCACAUGUUGCGCUCCUGCAGGUCUACGUUGCUCGACCCGGAGGAACAACUCAUGCGCGACAUCAUCCUUCGUUCGCGGAACUCGGAGAUGAACACGAGCACCGCCGCUAUAAGACCGUGAAGGCGCUCCAGCUCGACAUCGAGGAGUCUGAGUGCCUUGCGAAGGAGAGGGAGGCCACGGCGGCAAAAGUGACACGGUCAUGAAGGAGCAGAUCCGCGCCGUUCAUUGUCUCACCGACAUCAUCUCCUCUGCAUUGUCAUUCGACAACGGCAUAAGGAGCCACGUCGACGACGCCCUUCAACCAUCGAAUCCUACGCGGAGCACUACUGUCAUCGAUCCGUUGACUACAAGGGAAGUGACCCACGAGGAAAUUGUGAAGUUGGGCACCCACCCUUCUUCUGUUUAUCUAUCUAGCUGUAUUUAGUUAUUACUAUGUUGGUAUGUUAAAUGUGACCUACGUAGUUCAUCUCACAUUUCAUGGGUUGCAUGGAUUUGGGGGUUCGGAUAUGAGGGGGGCGACUGCGGACUAGGAGAAAUGAGGGGUGGCCUGUGAUUGUCCGUGGACACGCCCAGAUGCGUCAGCAGACGUAUAAGGGGUCCAAUUUGACCAUUCCGGGUAUAGAUGCUCUAAGAAGCAGAAAGAAGGGAAUACCAACUCGCAACCGGCGUUGAUGACGACACCACCACAUGCUACCGGGUAGUCGGGGUCACAGGAUAACAUCAACGCCACUCAGCUUAUUGGGAUGGAACGAUUAGUGUGCAGAUGUCUCACCUCGGCAUGGUCAAGGCGAUCACCGUGAAAAGGAGCAACAAGAAGAGGAGAUGCAUCUAGGUUGCUAUUCGCACACGAACACGUCACCGUGUACCUCCAACGCCGAGGGUGAUACACCGCAGCUCACGUCGAAGGAGACCCGUCCGGAAGCGUGGUACGCAAGCAAUCCGGCGGGCGCUUUUGAGCACCCGAAACCCCACGCGCCCGGGAGGGACCCCGUCUGGACGCGCGGCGACUAUGGGCUGCCCUAGGUCGGUUCGCCCGUCCCUAGAGCCUCGAGGAUCGCUGCCCUUCAACGAAGAACGAAUGAAGAACGAGAGAGAAAGAACAAGGGAGAGAUGUAAAACUAGAGUAAAAAGUAGAUUGAUUGUUCGAUUGUGUGUUGUUGUUCAAUCGGCCGUCACCCCUUAGGUAUAUAAGAGGUGGCUGGACUUCCCGUGCAAGGAAAAAGCUUGGAUUCACGUCCAAAACCCUAGUCAAAUUCGGAUUGGUCUUGUCCGAACUUUCCAAAACUGUUCGGUUUAAACUGGCUGCACCUUGCGGGUCUUUUUUGUGGUGGUAAACGAUCUCGGAUGAAAACGAGUCCAAAAGCAAUUUUGACCGUUUCGACGAUACGAACAACUUUCAUGUUGAACGUUUUUGAUCAGAGGUCAUCUUGAGGGUCAAAUAGCUCGCGCAAAAGAUCUCUUUACUCGCGCUACCAAUCAGACAUGGCGUCUGGUGGGGCGCGCCAUAUUUCGCCUCGUGACAGGGCUGCACUCCGAUUGCUCUAACUUUUGCAUACGAACUCGGAUUUGGACGAUUUUUAUAUCAAAAUCGAUCGUUUCGACGAGGCGAAGACAAUCCGUGUAGAUCAUUUUUCCAUUUGAGGUCGUCUUGGGGGCUUAAUCGGGCAAACUGUACUCUGAAUAUAAGUUCUUAGUACUUUGAGCAUAGUUUCGGCCUUCGAGAUGAAAUCGGACGGCGAUGACCCAAACUUCAAAGAUGUUCAUAUCAACAAUACGGAACUCUUUCAUGAAGAUCACUUCUCCAUUUGAGGCCAUCUUAAAUAAGUUAUUGACCGUGCCAAAAUCUGGUGUCAACACAUGCCCCCCUGUUUUUCGGCAAAACUUGCGUGCCGAAAAAUAAUUUGCAAUGUAUUUGUUCUAAGGACGAUGUCAACACUCCAUCGGCCAUUUAUUUUUCUCAGAACGAUAAUUAUGUAUCGGCCAUGUUUAUGCUAAGGGCGAUAGUUAUAUAUCGGCCGUUGAUUUUAACUUCUUGUUCACAUCAUACCUUGUAACCGAUUACCACCAAUCGGCUUUAAAGAGAUGGGAAUGAACCCGUUCCUUGUAGCACUAAGGAAAUCAAACUCCGAGAGGUCACGCCCUGUUAAGCAAGUUACAUCGGGAUGAUUCCAAUCCACCGAUGCAUCGACCAAAGCAACACAAGCCGAAUUAUCCGCGUGAAUGAUUUCUACCUCAUCAUCGAUCCAUUGUAUUAAAAAUUGAUGCAUGGUAGACGGCACACAUUGGUUAGCAUGAACCCAAUCGAGACCUAAUAUAACAUUAUAGUUACCUUGCACCUCGGCGAUGAAGAAUGUGGUGGCCGAAGUUUUGCUUCCCACGGUGAGUUCCAUGCACAUCACACCUUUGGCCUCUGUCUUUUCUUUACCCUCGAAUCCAUUAAGUACCAUAUUGGUCUUCAUCAAUGCAUCAUCAUCUAACCCCAACUUUUUGAAGACCGAGUAGGGCAUAAGAUUUACCACAGCACCACCAUCAACGAGCAUCCUAGCAACCGGCAAUCCGUUAAUAUGACCUUUGAGGUACAAUGGCUUCAAGUAUUUCACCGGUUCUCUUGGCUUCUCGAAAAUAGCAUUCUUAGGACCAAAAUUCAGCUGGGCUACCUCCCCUUCUUCACCUAUAGCACGAAACUCGGUAGGUAAGUAAUAUACCAUAUUAAUAUCCAUACCUUCCCGAACCGGCGUAGAUUCAUAAUCCACCAUCUCAUCUUCAUCUCCCAAUGUGUAUAUUGGGCUUAAAGAUUCCUCAAUUGAAGGGGAUGUUUCAGGUAGUGUAGACGAUGUAAUAGGGGUCACAUCAUCCUCUUUUGAUGGUGAAGGUGUUGCUGCAGCUAAUGUAGAAGCAUCUGUGUUUUGUUUUUGUUUAGGCCUCCACACUUGUUUUGUGAGUGCUAUGGGCCGAAUUUCACUAAACAAUUCGCCCCUUUGCCUCUCCUCUUUGUGUUCUACCUUCUCGUGGUUCCUCAUGCGUUGUAACCUCCUUUUCAUGGUCUUAGUUAAACCGGGAGGACACCACUUAGGUUGAGUAUAUUUGGGAUCCCUUGGUUUGGCCUUGCUUGUGCUCGCCUCAUGAUCAUCAACCAUGGAACCCUGCUGAACAAUAACAAUAUCACCAUUAGAAGUAACUAGAUUACCAACAACCGGCUUUUUGAUCUCCUUUUCCUUGUCGCAUUCUGAAAUUUCCGCAUUAGGUUGUAGGGGAACGUAGUAAUUUCAAAAAAUUUCCUACGCACACGCAAGAUCAUGGUGAUGGCAUAGCAACGAGAGGGGAGAGUGUUUGUCCACGUACCCUCGUAGACCGUAAGCGGAAGCGUUAGCACAACACGGUUGAUGUAGUCGUACGUCUUCACGAUCCGACCGAUCCAAGCACCGAACGUACGGGGCCUCCGAGUUCAGCACACGUUCAGCUCGAUGACGAUCUCCGGCCUCCGAUCCAGUGAAGCUCCGGAGAUGAGUUCCGUCAGCACGACGGCGUGGUGACGAUGAUGAUGUUCUACCGGCGCAGGGCUUCGCCUAAACUCCGCGGCGAGAGGUGGAAUAUGGUGGAGGGGGGCACCGCACAUGGCUAAGGAACGAUCCGUAGAUCAACUUGUGUGUCUAUGGAGUGCCCCCCCGCCCCCGUAUAUAAAGGAGCAAGGGGGGAGGCCGGCCGGCCCUUGGGGCGCGCCAAGGAGGGGGGAGUCCUCCUCUUAGUUGGAGUAGGACUCCCCUUUCCUAGUCCAACUAGGAAGGAGGAAGGGGGAAGGAAAGAGGGGGAGAGGGAGAGGGAAAGAGGGGCCGCGCCCCCCUCCCCUAGUCCAAUUCGGACUCCCCUUGGGAGGGGGCGCGCCACCUCCUGGGCUGCUGCCCUCUCUCCCCCCUCAGGCCCACUAAGGCCCAAUACUUCCCCGGGGGGUUCCGGUAACCCCUCCGGCACUUCGUUUUCUCCGAAAUCACCCGGAACACUUCCGGUGUCCGAAUAUAGUCGUCCAAUAUAUCAAUCUUUAUGUCUCGACCAUUUCGAGACUCCUGUCAUGUCUGUGAUCACAUCCGGGACUCCGAACAAACUUCGGUACAUCAAAACUUAUAAACUCAUAAUAAAACUGUCAUCGUAACGUUAAGCGUGCGGACCCUACGGGUUCGAGAACUAUGUAGACAUGACCUAGAACCAUUCUCGGUCAAUAACCAAUAGCGGGACCUGGAUGCCCAUAUUGGUUCCUACAUAUUCUACGAAGAUCUUUAUCGGUCAAACCGCAUAACAACAUACGUUGUUCCCUUUGUCAUCGGUAUGUUACUUGCCCGAGAUUCGAUCGUCGGUAUCCAAUACCUAGUUCAAUCUCGUUACCGGCAAGUCUCUUUACUCGUUCCGUAAUACAUCAUCUUAUAACUAACUCAUUAGUUACAAUGCUUACAAGGCUUAGGUGAUGGGUAUUACCGAGAGGGCCCAGAGAUACCUCUCCGACAAUCGGAGUGACAAAAACUAAUCUCGAAUUAUGCCAACCCAACAUGUACCUUCGGAAACACCUGUAGAGCACCUUUGUAAUCACCCAGUUACGUUGUGACGUUUGGUAGCACACAAAGUGUUCUUCCGGUAAACGGGAGUUGCACAAUCUCAUAGUUGCAGGAACUUUGUAUAAGUCAUGAAGAAAGCAAUAGCAAUAUACUAAACGAUCAAGUGCUAGGCUAACGAAAUGGGUCAUGUCAAUAACAUCAUUCUCCUAAUGAUGUGAUCCCAUUAAUCAAAUGACAACACAUGUCCAUGGUUAGGAAACAUAACCAUCUUUGAUUAAUGAGCUAGUCAAGUAGAGGCAUACUAGUGACUAUAUGUUUGUCUAUGUAUUCACACAUGUAUCAUGUUUCCGGUUAAUACAAUUCUAGCAUGAAUAAUAAACAUUUAUCAUGAUAUGAGGAAAUAAAUAAUAACUUUAUUAUUGCCUCUAGCGCAUAUUUCCUUCAGUCUCGCACUUGCACUAGAGUCAAUAAUCUAGAUUACAUAGUAAUGAUUCUAACACCCAUGGAGUCUUGGUGCUGAUCAUGUUUUGCUCGUGAGAGAGGCUUAGUCAACGGGUCUGCUGUUGGGGAACGUAGCAGAAAUUCAAAAAAUUUCCUACGUGUCACCAAGAUCUAUCUAUGGAGAGACCAGCAACGAGUAGAAAGAGAGUGCAUCUACAUACCCUUGUAGAUCGCUAAGCGGAAGCGUUCAAGUGAACGGGGUUGAAGGAGUCGUACUUGUCGUGAUCCAAAUCACCGGAGAUCCUAGUGCCGAACGGACAGCACCUCCGCGUUCAACACACGUACAGCCCGGUGAUGUCUCCCAUGCCAUGAUCCAGCAAGGAGAGAGGGAGAGGUUGAGGAAGACUCCGUCCAGCAGCAGCACAACGGCGUGGUGGUGGUGGAGGAGCGUGGCAAUCCUGCAGGGCUUCGCCAAGCACCGCGAGAGAGGAGGAGCACUUGGGAGAGGGAGGGCUGCGUCAGGGGCAAGGGUGAAGCUCCCAUGCGCCUCCCCACUAUAUAUAGGGGUGGAGGGGGCUGGUUUCUUGCCCUCCAAGUCCAUUGGGGCGUUGGCAAAGGUGGGAGGAAAGAAAUCCCAUCAUUUCCUUCCCCACCGAUUGCUAUCCCCCCUUUUUAGGGAUCUUGAUCUUAUCCCUUUGGGAUAUGAUCUUAUUCCUUCUAAGGGGGGAUCUUGGUGCGCCUUGACCAGGGGUGUGGGGCCUUUCCCCCACUACCCACGUUCAUGUGGCCCCCCCAUGCAGGUGGGCCCCACUCCGGAACCUUCUAGAACCUUCCCGGUACAAUACCGAAAAAUUCCGAACAUUUUCCAGUGGCCAAAAUAGGACUUCCCAUAUAUAAAUCUUUACCUCUGGACCAUUCCGGAACUCCUCGUGACGUCCGAGAUCUCAUCCGGGACUCCGAACAACAUUCGGUAACCACAUACAAACUUCCUUUAUAACCCUAGCGUCAUCGAACCUUAAGUGUGUAGACCCUACGGGUUCGGGAGACAUGUAGACAUGACCGAGACGUUCUCCGGUCAAUAACCAACAGCGGGAUCUGGAUACCCAUGAUGGCUCCCACAUGUUCCACGAUGAUCUCAUCGGAUGAACCACGAUGUCAAGGACUUAAUCAAUCCCGUAUUCAAUUCCCUUUGUCUAUCGGUAUGUUACUUGCCCGAGAUUCGAUCGUCGGUAUCCAAUACCUUGUUCAAUCUCGUUACCGGCAAGUCACUUUACUCGUUCCGUAACACAUCAUCCCGUGAUCAACUCCUUGGUCACAUUGCGCAUAUGAUGAUGUCCUACCGAGUGGGCCCAGAGAUACCUCUCCGUUUACACGGAGUGACAAAUCCCAGUCUCGAUCCGCAUAAAACAAUAGAUACUUUCGGAGAUACCUGUAGUGCACCUUUAUAGUCACCCAGUUACGUUGUGACGUUUGAUACACCCAAAGCACUCCUACGGUAUCCAGGAGUUACAUGCUCUCAUGGUCGAAGGAAGAGAUACUUGACAUUGGCAAAGCUCUAGCAAAUGAACUACACGAUCUUUUGUGCUAGUCUUGGGAUUGGGUCUUGUCCAUCACAUCAUUCUCCUAAUGAUGUGAUCCCGUUAUCAACGACAUCCAAUGUCCAUAGCCAGGAAACCAUGACUAUCUGUUGAUCACAACGAGCUAGUCAACUAGAGGCUCACUAGGGACAUAUUGUGGUCUAUGUAUUCAAACGUGUAUUACGAUUUCCGGAUAAUACAGUUAUAGCAUGAAUAAAAGACAAUUAUCAUGAACAAGGAAAUACAAUAAUAAUACUUUUAUUAUUGCCUCUAGGGCAUAUUUCCAACAGUCUCCCACUUGCACUAGAGUCAAUAAUCUAGUUCACAUCGCCAUGUGAUUAACACUCACAGGUCACGUCGCCAUGUGACUAAGACCCAAGAGUUUACUAGAAUCAGUAGUCUAGUUCACAUCACUAUGUGAUUAAUACUCAAUGAGUUUUAGGUUUGAUCAUGUUGCUUGUGAGAGAGGUUUUAGUCAACGGGUCCGAACCUUUCAGAUCCGUGUGUGUUUUACAAAUAUCUAUGUCAUCUCCUAGAUGUAGCUACCACGCUCUAUUUGGAGCUAAUCCAAAUAACUGUUCUACGUGGAGCUAUUCUAAAUUGUUGCUCCAUUAUAUGUAUCCGGUAUCUCUACUCAGAGCUAUCCGGAUAGGUGUCAAGCUUGCAUCGACGUAACCCUUUACGACGAACUCUUUUACCACCUCCAUAAUCGAGAAAAAUUCCUUAGUCCACUAAUUUCUAAGGAUAACUUUGACCGCUGUCCUGUGAUCCAUUCUUGGAUCACUCUUGUACCCCUUGACUGACUCAUGGCAAGGCACACUUCAGGUGCGGUACUCAGCAUGGCAUACUGUAGAGCCUACGUCUAAAGUAUAGGGGACGACCUUCGUCCUUUCUCUCUUUUCUGCCGUGGUCGAGCUUUAAGUCCUAACUUUGUACCUUACAACUCAGGCAAGAACUCCUUCUUUGACUGGUCCAUCUUGAACACCUUCAAGAUCAUGUCAAGGUAUGUGCUCAUUUGAAAGUAUUAUUAAGCAUUUUGAUCUAUCCUUAUAGAUCUUGAUGCUCAAUGUUCAAGUUGCUUAAUCCAGGCUUUCCAUUGAAAAACACUUUCAAAAUAACCCUAUAUGCUUUCCAGAAAUUCUACGUCAUUUCUGAUCAACAAUAUGUCAACAACAUAUACUCAUCAGAAAUUCUAUAGUGCUCCCACUCACUUCUUUGGAAAUACAAGUUUCUCGUAAACUUUGUACAAACCCAAAAUCUUUGAUCAUCAUCAAAGCACACAUUCCAACUCCGAGAUGCUCACUCCAGACCUUAGAAGGAUUGCUGGAGCUUUGCAUACUUAUUAGCAUCUUUUGGGAUUGACAAAACCUUCCGGUUGUAUCACAUACAACCUUUCCUCAAGUAUAACGUCGAGGAAACAAUGUUUUGACAUCCUAUCUGCAAGAUUUCAUCAAUCAUGCAGUAACUGCUAAUCCAAUUCCAACAGACUCUUAGGAUCGCUACGAGUGAGAAAACCUCACCGUAAUCAACUCCUUGAACUUGUCGGAAAAUAUCUUAACGACAAGUCGAGCUUUCUUAAUGGUAAUUCUUACCAUCAUUGUCUGUCUUCCUUUUAAAAUCCAUCCGUACCCAAUGGCCUUACGACCAUCAAGUAUUUCUUCCAAAGUCAUGGAUCCGUUCUCGGAUUUUAUGGCCUCGAGCCAUUUAUCGGAAUCCGGGCCCACCAUUGCUUCUCCAUAGCUCGUAGGUUCAUUGUUGUCCAGCAACAUGACUUCCAAGACAGGAUUACGUACCACUCUGAUGUAGUACGUAUCCUUGUCAUCCCACGAGGUUUGGUAGUGACUUGAUCCGAAGUUUCAUGAUCAACAUCACAAGCUUCCACUUCAAUUGGUGUAGGUGCCACAGGAACAACUUCAUGUGCCCUGCCACACACUAGUUGAAGAGACGGUUCAAUAACCUCAUCAAGUUUCCACCAUCCUCCCACUCAAUUCUUUCAAGAGAAACUUUUCCUCGAGAAAGGACCCGAUUCAAGAAACAAUCCAUAUUGCUUUCGGAUCUGAAUUAGGAGGUAUACCCAACUGUUUUGGGUUUCCUAUGAAGAUGCAUUUUAUCCGCUUUGGGUUCGAGCUUAUCAACCUGAAACUUUUUCAUAUAAGCGUCGCAGCCCCAAACUUUUAAGAAACGACAACUUAGGUUUCUCUAAACCAUAAUUCAUACGGUGUCAUCUCAACGGAAUUACGUGGUGCCCUAUUUAAAGUGAAUGUGGUUGUCUCUAAUGCCUAACCCAUGGACAAUAGUGGUAAUUCGAUAAGAGACAUCAUGGUACGCACCAUAUCCAAUAGGGUGCAACUAUGAUGUUCGGACACACCAUCACACUAUGGUGUUCCAGGCGGUAUUAAUUGCGAAACAAUUUCCACAAUGUCUUAAUUGUGUGCCAAAACUCGUAACUCAGAUAUUCAUCUCUAUGAUCAUAUCAUAGACAUUUUAUCCUCUUGCCACAAUGAUCUUCUACUUCACUCUGAAAUUACUUGAACCAUUCAAUAAUUCAGACUUGUGUUUCAUCAAGUAAAUAUUCUCAACAUCUACUCGAAUCAUCUGUGAAGAUCUUAAUGAUAUUCACUGCAUGCCUCAGCACUCAUUGGAUUGGACACAUCAAAAUGUGUUACUUCCAACAAGUUGCUAUCUUGUUCCAUCUUACUGAAAACGAGGCUUUUCAGUCAUCUUGCCCAUGUGGUAUGAUUUGCAUAUCUCAAGUGAUUCAAAAUCAAGUGAGUCCAAACGGUCCAUUUGCAUGGAGUUUCUUCAUGCAUAUACACCAAUAGACAUGGUUCACAUGUCUCAAACUUUUCAAAAACGAGUGAGUCCAAAGAUCCAUCAACAUGGAGCUUCUUCAUGCAUUUUAUACCAUUAUGACUUACAUGGCAGUGCCACAAGUAAGUGGUACUAUCAUUACUAUCUUAUAUCUUUUGGCAUGAAAAUGUGUAUCACUACGAUCGAGAUUCAAUAAACCAUUCAUUUUAGGUGCAAGACCAUUGAAGGUAUUAUUCAAAUAAAUAGAGUAACCAUUAUUCUCUUUAAAUGAAUAACCGUAUUGCGAUAGACAUAAUCCAAUCAUGUCUAUGCACAACGCAAACACCAAAUCUCGAUGGUAGAGGGAGCGUGCGAUGCUUGAUCAUAUCAACAUUGGAAACACUUCCAACACAUAUCGUCAGCUCACCUUUAGCUAGUCUCCGUUUAUGCCGUAGCUUUUAUUCCGAGUUACUAACACUUAGCAACCGAACCGGUAUCUUAUACCCUGGUGCUACUAGGAGUACUAGUAAAGUACACAUUAACAUAAUGUAUAUCCAAUAUACUUCUAUCGACCUUGCCAGCCUUCUCAUCUACCAAGUAUCUAGGGUAAUUCUGCUCUAGUGACUGUUCCCCUUAUUACAGAAGCACUUAGUCUCGGGUUUGGGUUCAACCUUGGGUUUCUUCACUGGAGCAGCAGCUGAUUUGCCGUUUCAUGCAGUAUCCCUUCUUGCCCUUGCCCUUCUUGAAACUAGUGGUUUCACCAACCAUCAACAAUUGAUGCUCCUUCUUGAUUUCUACUUUCGCGGUGUCAAACAUCGUGAAUACCUCAAGGAUCAUCUUAUUUAUCCCUGAUAUGUUAUAGUUCAUCACGAAGCUCUAGCAGCUCGGUGGCAAUGACUUUGGAGAAACAUCACUAUCUCAUUUGGAAGAUCAACUCCCACUCAAUUCAAGUGAUUGUUGCACUCAGACAAUCUGAGCACAAGCUCAACGAUUGAGAUUUUCUCCCUUAGUUUGCAGGCUAAGAGAAUCGUCGGAGAUCUUAUACCUCUUGACGUGAGCACGAGCCUGAAAUCCCAAUUUCAGCCCUCGAAACAUCUCAUAUGUUCCGCGAUGUUUCGAAAACGUCUUUGGUGCCUCUACUUAAACCAUUUAACUGAACUAUCACGUAGUUAUCAAAACGUGUAUGUUCGAUGUUCGAAACAUCCACAAACGACGUUUGGGGUUCAGCACACUGAGCAGUGCAUUAAGGACAUAAGCUUCUACUGUUCGCAUAAUCGCUACUAUCAACUUUCAACUAUAUUUUCUCUAGGAACAUAUCUAAAACAGUAGAACUAAAGCGCGAGCUACGACAUAAUUUGCAAAAGGUCUUUUGACUAUGUUCAGGAUAAUUAAGUUCAUCUUAUGAACUCCCACUCAGAUAGACAUCCCUCUGGUCAUCUAAGUGAUCACAUGAUCCGAGUCAACUAGGCCGUGUCCGAUCAUCACGUGAGACGGACUAGUCAUUAUCGGUGAACAUCUUCAUGUUGAUCGUAUCUACUAUACGACUCAUGCUCGACCUUUCGGUCUCCGUGUUCCGAGGCCAUGUCUGCACAUGCUAGGCUCGUCAAGUUAACCCUAAGUGUUUUCGCUGUGUAAAACUGUCUUACACCCGUUGUAUGUGAACGUAAGAAUCCAUCACACCCGAUCAUCACGUGGUGCUUAGAAGCGACGAACUGUAGCAACGGUGCACAGUUAGGGGAGAACACUUCUUGAACUUUUGUAAGGGAUCAUCUUAUUUACUACCGUCGUCCUAAGUAAACAAGAUGCAUAAACAUGAUAAACAUCACAUGCAAUCAAAUAGUGACAUGAUAUGACCAAUAUCAUUUUGCUCCUUUUGAUCUUCAUUUUCGGGGCUCCAUGGUCAUCAUCGUCACCGGCAUGACACCAUGAUCUCCAUCAUCAUGAUCUCCAUCAUCGUGUCUUCAUGAAGUUGUCACGCCAACGACUACUUCUACUUCUAUGGCUAACGCGUUUAGCAAUAAAGUAAAGUAAGUUACAUGGCGUUCUUCAAUGACACGCAGGUCAUACAAUAAAUUAAGACAACUCCUAUGGCUCCUGCCGGUUGUCAUACUCAUCGACAUGCAAGUCGUGAAUCCUAUUACAAGAACAUGAUCAAUCUCAUACAUCACAUAUCAUUCAUCACAUUCUUCUUGGCCAUAUCACAUCACAUAGCAUACCCUGCAAAAACAAGUUAGACGUCCUCUAAUUGUUGUUGCAUGUUUUACGUGGCUGCUAUGGGUUUCUAGCAAGAACAUUUCUUACCUACGCAAAACCACAACGUGAUAUGCCAAUUGCUAUUUACCCUUCAUAAGGACCCUUUUCAUCGAAUCUGUUCCGACUAAAGUGGGAGAGACUGGCACCCACUAGCCACCUUAUGCACCAAGUGCAUGUCAAUCGGUGGAACCUGUCUCACGUAAGAGUACGUGUAAGGUCGGUCCGGGCCGCUUCAUCCCACAAUACCGUCGAAACAAGAUUGGACUAGUAACGGUAAGCAUAUUGAACAAAAUCAACGCCCACAACUACUUUGUGUUCUACUCGUGCAAAGAAUCUACGCAAUAGACCUAGCUCUGAUACCACUGUUGGGGAACGUAGCAAAAAUUCAAAAAUUUCCCUACGUGUCACCAAGAUCUAUCUAUGGAGAGACCAGCAACGAGUAGAAAGAGAGUGCAUCUACAUACCCUUGUAGAUCGCUAAGCGGAAGCGUUCAAGUGAACGGGGUUGAAGGAGUCGUACUCGUCAUGAUCCAAAUCACCGGAGAUCCUAGUGCCGAACGGACGGCACCUCCGCGUUCAACACACGUACAGCCUGGUGACGUCUCCCAUGCCUUGAUCCAGCAAGGAGAGAGGGAGAGGUUGAGGAAGACUCCGUCCAGCAGCAGCACAACGGCGUGGUGGUGGUGGAGGAGCGUGGCAAUCCUGCAGGGCUUCGCCAAGCACCGCGAGAGAGGAGGAGCACUUGGGAGAGGGAGGGCUGCGCCAGGGGCAAGGGUGAAGCUCCCAUGCGCCUCCCCACUAUAUAUAGGGGUGGAGGGGUCUGGUUUCUUGCCCUCCAAGUCCAUUGGGGCGUUGGCAAAGGUGGGAGGAAAGAAAUCCCAUCAUUUCCUUCCCCACCGAUUGCUAUCCCCCCUUUUUAGGGAUCUUGAUCUUAUCCCUUUGGGAUAUGAUCUUAUUCCUUCUAAGGGGGGGUCUUGGUGCGCCUUGACCAGGGGUGUGGGGCCUUUCCCCCACUACCCACGUUCAUGUGGGUCCCCCCAUGCAGGUGGGCCCCACUCCGGAACCUUCUAGAACCUUCCCGGUACAAUACCGAAAAAUCCCGAACAUUUUCCAGUGGCCAAAAUAGGACUUCCCAUAUAUAAAUCUUUACCUCCGGACCAUUCCGGAACUCCUCGUGACGUCCGGGAUCUCAUCCGGGACUCCGAACAACAUUCGGUAACCACAUACAAACUUCCUUUAUAACCCUAGCGUCAUCGAACCUUAAGUGUGUAGACCCUACAGGUUCGGGAGACAUGUAGACAUGACCGAGACGUUCUCCGGUCAAUAACCAACAGCGGGGUCUGGAUACCCAUGAUGGCUCCCACAUGUUCCACGAUGAUCUCAUCGGAUGAACCACGAUGUCAAGGACUUAAUCAAUCCCAUAUUCAAUUCCCUUUGUCUAUCGGUAUGUUACUUGCCCGAGAUUCGAUCGUCGGUAUCCAAUACCUUGUUCAAUCUCGUUACCGGCAAGUCACUUUACUCGUUCCGUAACACAUCAUCCCGUGAUCAACUCCUUGGUCACAUUGCGCAUAUGAUGAUGUCCUACGGAGUGGGCCCAGAGAUACCUCUCCGUUUACACGGAGUGACAAAUCCCAGUCUCGAUCCGCAUAAAACAAUAGAUACUUUCGGAGAUACCUGUAGUGCACCUUUAUAGUCACCCAGUUAUGUUGUGACGUUUGAUACACCCAAAGCACUCCUACGGUAUCCAGGAGUUACACGCUCUCAUGGUCGAAGGAAGAGAUACUUGACAUUGGCAAAGCUCUAGCAAAUGAACUACACGAUCUUUUGUGCUAGUCUUGGGAUUGGGUCUUGUCCAUCACAUCAUUCUCCUAAUGAUGUGAUCCCAUUAUCAACGACAUCCAAUGUCCAUAGCCAGGAAACCAUGACUAUCUGUUGAUCACAACGAGCUAGUCAACUAGAGGCUCACUAGGGACAUAUUGUGGUCUAUGUAUUCAAACGUGUAUUACGAUUUUCGGAUAAUACAGUUAUAGCAUGAAUAAAAGACAAUUAUCAUGAACAAGGAAAUAUAAUAAUAAUACUUUUAUUAUUGCCUCUAGGGCAUAUUUCCAACAUCUGCAACAUUUAGAUCCGUAUGUAUCUUGCAAAUCUCUAUGUCUCCCACUUGGACUUGGUCCCGAAUGGAAUUGAAGCGUCUCUUGAUAUGCUUGGUCCUCUUGUGAAAUCUGGAUUCCUUUGCCAAGGCAAUUGCACCAGUAUUGUCACAGAAGAUCUUCAUUGGUCCCGAUGCACUAGGUAUGACACCUAGAUCGGAAAUGAACUCCUUCAUCCAGACUCCUUCAUUUGCUGCUUCAGAAGCAGCUAUGUACUCCGCUUCACAUGUAGAUCCUGCCAUGACGCUUUGUUUAGAACUGCACCAACUUACAGCUCCACCGUUUAAUAAAAACACAUAUCCGGUUUGCGAUUUAGAAUCGUCCGGAUCAGUGUCAAAGCUUGCAUCGACGUAACCAUUUACGACUAGCUCUUUGUCACCUCCAUAUACGAGAAACAUAUCCUUAGUCCUUUUCAGGUAUUUCAGGAUGUUCUUGACCGCUGUCCAGUGAUCCACUCCUGGAUUACUUUGGUACCUUCCUGCCAAGCUUAUUGCUAAGCAUACGUCAGGUCUGGUACACAGCAUUGCAUACAUGAUAGAGCCUAUGGCUGAAGCAUAGGGAACAUUUUUCAUUUUCUCUCUAUCUUCUGCUGUGGUCGGGAAUUGAGUUUGACUCAACUUCACACCUUGUAGCACAGGCAAGAAUCCUUUCUUUGCCUGAUCCAUUUUGAAUUUUUUCAAAAUUUUGUCAAGGUAUGUGCUUUAUGAAAGUCCUAUUAAGCGUCUUGAUCUAUCUCUAUACAUCUUGAUGCCCAAUAUGUAAGCAGCUUCACCGAGGUCUUUCAUUGGAAAACUUUUAUUCAAGUAUCCCUUUAUGCUAUCCAGAAAUUCUAUAUCAUUUCCAAUUAAUAAUAUGUCAUCUACAUACAAAAUUAGAAAUGCUACAGAGCUCCCACUCACUUUCUUGUAAAUACAGGCUUCUCCAAAAGUCUGUAUAAAACCGUAUGCUUUGAUCACACUAUCAAAGCGUUUAUUCCAACUCCGAGAUGCUUGCACCAGCCCAUAAAUGGAACACUGGAGCUUGCACACUUUGUCAGCACCUUUUGGAUCAACAAAACCUUCCGGCUACAUCAUAUACAACUCUUCUUCUAGAAAUCCAUUCAAGAAUGCAGUCUUGACAUCCAUUUGCCAAAUUUCAUAAUUAUGAAAUGCAGCAAUAGCUAACAUGAUUCGGACAGACUUAAGCAUCGCUACGGGUGAGAAAGUCUCAUCAUAGUCAACCCCUUGAACUUGUCGAAAACAUUUUGCAACAAGUCAAGCUUUAUAGACAGUUAUAUUACCAUCAGCGUCAGUCUUCUUCUUAAAGAUCCAUUUAUUCUCAAUGGCUUGCCGAUCAUCGGGCAAGUCAACCAAAGUCCAUACUUUGUUUUCAUACAUGGAUCCCAUCUCAGAUUUCAUGGCCUCUAGCCAUUUUGCGGAAUCUGGGCUCAUCAUCGCUUCCUCAUAGUUCGUAGGUUCAUCAUGGUCAAGUAACAUGACUUCCAGAAUAGGAUUACCGUACCACUCUGGUGCGGAUCUUACUCUGGUAGACCUACGAGGUUCAGUAGAAACUUGAUCCGAAGUUUCAUGAUCAUUAUCAUUAGCUUCCUCACUAAUUGGUGUAGUUGUCACAGGAACCGGUUCUCGUGAUGAACUACUUUCCAAUAAGGGAGUAGAUACAGUUAUCUCAUCAAGUUCUACUUUCCUCCCACUCACUUCUUUCGAGAGAAACUCCUUCUCUAGAAAGGAUCCAUUCUUAGCAACGAAUGUCUUGCCUUCGGAUCUAUGAUAGAAGGUGUACCCAACAGUCUCUUUUGGGUAUCCUAUGAAGGCACAUUUCUCCGAUUUAGGUUCGAGCUUAUCUGGUUGAAGUUUCUUCACAUAAGCAUCGCAGCCCCAAACUUUAAGAAACGACAACUUUGGUUUCUUGCCAAACCACAGUUCAUAAGGUGUCGUCUCAACGGAUUUUGAUGGUGCCCUAUUUAACGUGAAUGCGGCCGUCUCUAAAGCAUAACCCCAAAACGAUAGCGGUAAAUCAGUAAGAGACAUCAUAGAUCGCACCAUAUCAAGUAAAGUACGAUUACGACGUUCGGACACACCAUUUCGUUGUGGUGUUCCAGGUGGCGUGAGUUGCGAAACUAUUCCACAUUGUUUCAAGUGUAGGCCAAACUCGUAACUCAAAUAUUCUCCUCCACGAUCAGAUCGUAGAAACUUUAUUUUCUUGUUACGAUGAUUUUCCACUUCACUCUGAAAUUCUUUGAACUUUUCAAAUGUCUCAGACUUGUGUUUCAUCAAGUAGAUAUACCCAUAUCUGCUCAAGUCAUCUGUGAAGGUGAGAAAAUAAUGAUACCCGCCGCGAGCCUCAACAUUCAUUGGGCCACAAACAUCAGUAUGUAUGAUUUCCAACAAAUCAGUUGCUCGCUCCAUAGUUCCGGAGAACGGCGUUUUAGUCAUCUUGCCCAUAAGGCACGGUUCGCAAGUACCAAGUGAUUCAUAAUCAAGUGAUUCCAAAAGUCCAUCAGUAUGGAGUUUCUUCAUGCGUUUUACACCGAUAUGACCCAAACGGCAGUGCCACAAGUUGCACUAUCGUUAUCAACUCUGCAUCUUUUGGUUUCAACACUAUGAACAUGUGUAUCACUACUAUCGAGAUUUAAUAAAAAUAGACCACUCUUCAAGGGUGCAUGACCAUAAAAGAUAUUACUCAUAUAAAUAGAACAACCGUUAUUCUCUGAUUUAAAUGAAUAACCGUCUCGCAUCAAACAAGAUCUAGAUAUAAUGUUCAUGCUCAACGCUGGCACCAAAUAACAAUUAUUUAGGUCUAAUACUAAUCCCGAAGGUAGAUGUAGAGGUAGCGUGCCGACCGCGAUCACAUCGACUUUGGAACCGUUUCCCACGCGCAUCGUCACCUCGUCCUUGGCCAGUGCUCGCUUAUUCCGUAGUCCCUGUUUCGAGUUGCAAAUAUUAGCAACAGAACCAGUAUCAAAUACCCAGGUGCUACUACGAGCUCUAGUUAGGUACACAUCAAUAACAUGUAUAUCACAUAUACCUUUGUUUACUUUGCCAUCCUUCUUAUCCGCCAAAUACUUGGGGCAGUUCUGCUUCCAGUGACCAGUCUGCUUGCAGUAGAAGCACUCAGUUUCAGGCUUAGGUCCAGACUUGGGUUUCUUCUCUUGAGCAGCAACUUGCUUGCUGUUCUUCUUGAAGUUCCCCUUCUUCUUCCCUUUGCCCUUUUUCUUGAAACUAGUGGUCUUGUUGACCAUCAACACUUGAUGCUCCUUCUUGAUUUCUACCUCCGCAGCUUUUAGCAUUGCGAAGAGCUUAGGAAUAGUCUUGUUCAUCCCUUGCAUAUUAUAGUUCAUCACAAAGCUCUUGUAGCUUGGUGGCAGUGAUUGGAGAAUUCUGUCAAUGACGCUAUCAUCCGGAAGAUUAACUCCCAAUUGAAUCAAGUGAUUAUUAUACCCAGACAUUUUGAGUAUAUACUCACUGACAGAACUAUUCUCCUCCAUCUUGCAGCUGUAGAACUUAUUGGAGACUUCAUAUCUCUCAAUCCGGGCAUUUGCUUGAAAUAUUAACUUCAACUCCUGGAACAUCUCAUAUGCUCCAUGACGUUCAAAACAUCAUUGAAGGCCCGGUUCUAAGCCGUAAAGCAUGGCACACUUAACUAUAGAGUAGUCAUCAGCUUUGCUCUGCCAGACGUUCUUAACGUCGUCAGUUGCAUCAGCAGCAGGCCUGGCACCCAGCGGUGCAUCCAGGACGUAACUUUUCUGUGCAGCAAUGAGGAUAAUCCUCAGGUUACGGACCCAGUCCGUGUAAUUGCUACCAUCAUCUUUCAACUUUGCUUUCUCAAGGAACGCAUUAAAAUUCAACGGAACAACAGCACGAGCCAUCUAUCUACAAACAAACAUAGACAAGCAAAAUACUAUCAGGUACUAAGUUCAUGAUAAAUUUAAGUUCAAUUAAUCAUAUUACUUAAGAACUCCCACUUAGACAGACAUCUCUCUAGUCAUCUAAGUGAUUACGUGAUCCAAAUCAACUAAACCAUAACCGAUCAUCACGUGAGAUGGAGUAGUUUUCAAUGGUGAACAUCACUAUGUUGAUCAUAUUUACUAUAUGAUUCACGCUCGACCUUUCGGUCUCCGUGUUCCGAGGCCAUAUCUGCAUAUGCUAGGCUCGUCAAGUUUAACCUGAGUAUUCCGCGUGUGCAAAACUGGCUUGCACCCGUUAUAGAUGGACGUAGAGCUUAUCACACCCGAUCAUCACGUGGUGUCUGGGCACGACAAACUUUGGCAACGGUGCAUACUCAGGGAGAACACUUCUUGAUAAUUUUAGUGAGAGAUCAUCUUAAAAUGCUACCGUCAAUCAAAGCAAGAUAAGAUGCAUAAAGGAUAAACAUCACAUGCAAUCAAUAUAAGUGAUAUGAUAUGGCCAUCAUCAUCUUGUGCUUGUGAUCUCCAUCUCCGAAGCACCAUCGUGAUCACCAUCGUCACCGGCGCGACACCUUGAUCUCCAUCAUAGCAUCGUUGUCGUUACACCAUCUAUUGCUUCUACGACUAUCGCUACCGCUUAGUGAUAAAGUAAAGCAAUUACAGGGUGUUUGCAUUUCAUACAAUAAAGCAACAACCAUAUGGCUCCUGCCAGUUGCCGAUAACUUCGGUUACAAAACAUGAUAAUCUCAUACAAUAAAAUAUAUCAUCACGUCUUGACCAUAUCACAUCACAACAUGCCCUGCAAAAACAAGUUAGACAUCCUCUACUUUGUUGUUGCAAGUUUUACGUGGCUGCUACGGGCUUUAGCAAGAACCGUUCUUACCUACGCAUCAAAAACCACAACGAUAGUUCGUUAAGUUGGUGCUGGUUUAACCUUCACAAGGACUGGGCGUAGCCACACUCGAUUCAGCUAAAGUGAGAGAGACAGACACCCGCCAGCCACCUUUAAGCACUAGUGCUCAUAACGGUGAAACCAGUCUUGCGUAAGCAUACGCGUAAUGUCGGUCCGGGCCGCUUCAUCUCACAAUACCGCCGAACCAAAGUAUGACAUGCUGGUAAGCAGUAUGACUUGUAUCGCCCACAACUCACUUGUGUUCUACUCAUGCAUAUAACAUCGACGCAUAAAACCUAGGCUCUGAUACCAUUGUUGGGGAACGUAGUAAUUUCAAAAAAUUUCCUACGCACACGCAAGAUCAUGGUGAUGGCAUAGCAACGAGAGGGGAGAGUGUUUGUCCACGUACCCUCGUAGACCGUAAGCGGAAGCGUUAGCACAACGCGGUUGAUGUAGUCGUACGUCUUCACGAUCCGACCGAUCCAAGCACCGAACGUACGGGGCCUCCGAGUUCAGCACACGUUCAGCUCGAUGACGAUCUCAGGCCUCCGAUCCAGCGAAGCUCCGGAGAUGAGUUCCGUCAGCACGACGGCGUGGUGACGAUGAUGAUGUUCUAUCGGCGCAGGGCUUCGCCUAAACUCCGCGACGAUAUGACCGAGGUGGAAUAUGAUGGAGGGGGGCACCGCACACGGCUAAGGAACGAUCCGUAGAUCAACUUGUGUGUCUAUGGGGUGCCCCCCCGCCCCCGUAUAUAAAGGAGCAAGGGGGAGGCCGGCCGGCCCUUGGGGUGCGCCAAGGAGGGGGGGAGUCCUCCUCCUAGUUGGAGUAGGACUCCCCUUUCCUAGUCCAACUAGGAAGGAGGAAGGGGGAAGGAAAGAGGGGAAGAGGGAGAGGGAAAGAGGGGCCGCGCCCCCCUCCCCUAGUCCAAUUCGGACUCCCCUUGGGAGGGGGCGCGCCACCUCCUGGGCUGCUGCCCUCUCUCUCCCCUCAGGCCCACUAAGGCCCAAUACUUCCCCGGGGGGUUCCGGUAACCCCUCCGGCACUCCGGUUUUCUUCGAAAUCACCUGGAACACUUCCGGUGUCCGAAUAUAGUCGUCCAAUAUAUCAAUCUUUAUGUCUCAACCAUUUCGAGACUCCUCGUCAUGUCCGUGAUCACAUCUGGGACUCCGAACAAACUUCGGUACAUCAAAACUUAUAAACUCAUAAUAAAACUAUCAUCGUAACGUUAAGCGUGCGGACCCUACGGGUUCGAGAACUAUGUAGACAUGACCUAGAACCAUUCUCGGUCAAUAACCAAUAGCGGGACCUGGAUGCCCAUAUUGGUUCCUACAUAUUCUACGAAGAUCUUUAUCAGUCAAACCGCAUAACAACAUACGUUGUUACCUUUGUCAUCGGUAUGUUACUUGCCCGAGAUUCGAUCGUCGGUAUCCAAUACCUAGUUCAAUCUCGUUACCGGCAAGUCUCUUUACUCGUUCCGUAAUACAUCAUCUUAUAACUAACUCAUUAGUUACAAUGCUUGCAAGGCUUAGGUGAUGAGUAUUACCGAGAGGGCCCAGAGAUACCUCUCCGACAAUCGGAGUGACAAAACCUAAUCUCGAAUUAUGCCAACCCAACAUGUACCUUCGGAAACACCUGUAGAGCACCUUUGUAAUCACCCAGUUACAUUGUGACGUUUGGUAGCACACAAAGUGUUCUUCCGGUAAACGGGAGUUGCACAAUCUCAUAGUUGCAGGAACUUUGUAUAAGUCAUGAAGAAAGCAAUAGCACUAUACUAAACGAUCAAGUGCUAGGCUAACGAAGUGGGUCAUGUCAAUCACAUCAUUCUCCUAAUGAUGUGAUCCCAUUAAUCAAAUGACAACACAUGUCUAUGGUUAGGAAACAUAACCAUCUUUGAUUAAUGAGCUAGUCAAGUAGAGGCAUACUAGUGACUAUAUGUUUGUCUAUGUAUUCACACAUGUAUCAUGUUUCCGGUUAAUACAAUUCUAGCAUGAAUAAUAAACAUUUAUCAUGAUAUGAGGAAAUAAAUAAUAACUUUAUUAUUGCCUCUAGGGCAUAUUUCCUUCAUAGGUCACUUAACACGCCACACUUUUUUAUUGGCCUUACUUGGAGAAUUUUUUGUUGGCCGAUUAGCACCAUAACUCAAACGGCCUUGGGUGGGAUAAUAAAGCCUCUCGCGAGCAGGCCUUCUAGGUGUUGUCCACCCCAUAUGGAAAGCAUUAGGAGCCAUUGGGGGCUGCCCCCAUCCUCCAUUGAAGUCUCUCAUGUAAUAUGGUGCAUAGGAGGGUUGUGCCAUCCAUGGUGUCGGUGCCCAUGACCCAUAUGGCCUUGCCUAGCGUCGAAACUCUUGCUCCGGAAGAGAUCUUGAACGCUUCGAAUGUGAUGGCCGAUUAGAGCUAGAACCGGCCACUUGACUUGCAUAUUUGGAUAGCAGCAUAUCAAAAGUUGGCUUGAUUCGCUUGCGCUUAGCUUCACUCUUUCCCCACUUGCCAACUUCUGAAUUUUUGUGCUUGAUAAAUUUAACAUGAGUAUCUUCUUGUACUUGUGGUUUCCCCCCGAGUAUGGGAUUUUUUAUGGUGAUCUUCAAUACUUCCUUGCCAUCGGGUUGCUUAUCAAGCACAACCUCUCUUCCCAAGACUUUGUCGCCCUCCUUGCCUUUCCUGGGUUCACCAAUAACAACAUUAUCUUUAUUAGCAGAUUCGGCUAUGCUAGGCCGAAUUAACAUUUUCUUUGCCUCCAAGUCCAUGGUGUUCAUCGGAAAGGGCUGUUUAUCAACUUGCAUCUCAGCAAAAUUCAAUCGUCCAUCAUUAUGGCCGAUUGUAUCUGUCGUCGAAAAACAUUGCAAUCGUUAGUAGCAUGAGAAAAUGAAUUAUGGUAUUUGCAAUAAGCACGCCGUUUCAGCUCAUCAAACGGCGGUAUGGUGUGUGAUAUUCUAAUCAUCUUAUCCUGCAAGAGAGCAUCAAAUAUCUUAUCACACUUAGAUAUAUCAAAUGUAAACCUCAUCUCCUCAUCACGAUUCUUGCGAAUCGGCUUAAGAGCAUUACAUGUAUAGGGUUUGGCCUUUGAGGACCAAACAAACUCAGUAGUAUAAACAUCAACCUCAUCAUCCGAAUUAUCAUCAUUGUGUUCAACCAUAUGCAUUCUAGGACGAUCGGUUGUAGACCUAUGAAUCUCUUUACUUCGACUCUCUUGAACCAAAGCUUUUUGUAAGACUUGAUUAAUGUUCAAAAACUCAUAACUUUCUAGCCUCUCUUUAAUGUGAGUUUUCAAACCAUUAAGAACAAGAUCUGCCAAUCUCUCUCAGUUAUCACUAAGCUAUAACAUCGGUUUUUUAUGUCUCUAAAUCUCUUGACAUAAUCGGUGACCGAUUCAUCAUGUUUUUGCCUAACCGAUGUAAGAUGUGACAACUUUAGCUCAUUAUCACCGCUAUAAAAGUGAUCAUGAAACUUUUGCUCUAAUUGCGACCAUAAGAGAAUUGAGCCAUGUGGUAAAGCAGCAAACCAUGAAAAUGCGAUGCCAGUUAAAGAUAAGGGAAAUAAACGUACUUUCAACUCUUCUAUGGAACCUGCUUCACCCAACUGUGCUAGAUACUGACUCACAUGCUCCCAAGUUGUAUUCGUACCCUCACCACUAAAUUUAACAAAAUCAGGAACCUUAUAACCUUGAGGGUAAGAAAUUGCAUCGAAGUGUUCAGGAUAAGGCUUUUGGUACACACGACUCUUUACUUUCGGCUCGUUUCCGAAAGUUUCUAGAAACAUCUUAUGCAAAUCCUCCCUUAAUUUAGCUAAAAUUGGAUCCGUUGUAGAUGAAGAUGUUUGUGGCAAUGACAUAGGAGCAACCUGAGUACUAGCUAUUGGUGCAACUUGUGGGAUGGGCGCCGAACCAUAAUUCGGCGGAAGACCAAACAUGCUUGCACCUAUGGGUGAUGUGACAAAGUGAUUCGGCGUUGACGCCGAAUUGGGCACACUCAUAAUAUGAUUAGGGUAUGCAGGUGCAGCCACAAGCUGGUUGGUUUGAGUAGGGUAAAAAUUCAACAGCAUAUUAUAUUGUUGUUGCAUAGGUGGUGCCGAUGAAAUAGGUAAAAUUGGACUAGGGUUUCAGAUAUACCAACAGUACCACUAGAUGAUGGAGGCAUAUUUUUCUGAGCAUUAGCACUAGCCACAAAAGAAUUGUAUGCCAUCAUAUUACCCUUACUAACAAGACUUUCAAUCACAGCCACUUGCUCUGGAGAAAAAACUUUACUCACAGUGAUUGCAUCUUGUUCGUCGAUGAGGGAAGGAAAAUUGACGUUUCCAACCGGAGUGAUGUUGCCUUGACGGUCCUUCUUGAAACUUGACAGAAACGCUUCCAAAUCCUCCUCCUCGUGCUUCUUCUUGAGCGCCUCAAAAGCCUCUUCACGCUGCUUCUUGCGCGCUUUAUAGGCUUGGCGAUGUUCAUCCGAUAGUUCAUCAAGACCGGGCUUAAUGAUAUUAUCGGCGUCAACUUCCAAGGGCUUGGGGAGAUUAGACAUAGUUGAUGAUGAUGCUUGAUCUUUCUUCCCCAGCGGAGUCGCCAAAAAGUGUGUUCGCACACGAACACGUCACCGUGUACCUCCAACACCGAGGGUGAUACACCGCAGCUCACGUCGAAGGAGACCCGUCCGGAAGCGCGGUACGCAAGCAAUCCGGCGGGCGCUUUUGAGCACCCGAAACCCCACGCGCCCGGGAGGGACCCGUCUGGACGCGCGGCGGCUAUGGGCUGCCCUAGGUCGGUUUGCCCGCCCCUAGAGCCUCGAGGAUGGCUGCCCUUCAACAAAGAACGAACGAAGAACGAGAGAGAAAGAACAAGGGAGAGAUGUAAAACUAGGGUAAAAAGUAGAUUGAUUGUUCGAUUGUGUGUUGUUGUUUAAUCGGCCGUCACCCCUUAGGUAAAUAAGAGGCGGCUGGACUUCCUGUGCAAGGAAAAGGCUUGGAUUCACGUCCAAAACCCUAGUCAAAUUCGGAUUGGUCUUGUCCGAACUUUCCAAAACUGUUCGGUUUAAACUGGCUGCACCUUGCGGGUCUUUUUUGUGGUGGUAAAUGAUCUCGGAUGAAAACGAGUCCAAAAGCAAUCUUGACCGUUUCGACGAUACAAACAACUUUCAUGUUGAAAGUUUUUUGAUCAGAGGUCAUCUUGAGGGUCAAAUAGCUCGCGCAAAAGAUCUCUUUACUCGCGCUACCAAUCAGACAUGGCGUCUGGUGGGGCGCGCCAUAUUUCGCCUCGUGACAGGGCGGCACUCCGAUUGCUCUAACUUUUGCAUACGAACUCGUAUUUGGACGAUUUUUAUAUCAAAAUCGAUCGUUUCGACGAGACGAAAACAAUCCGUGUAGAUCAUUUUCCCUUUGAGGUCGUCUUGGGGGCUUAAUCGGCCAAACUGUACUCUGAAUAUAAGUUCUUAGUACUUUGAGCAUAGUUUCGGCCUUCGAGAUGAAAUCGGACGGCGAUGACCCAAACUUCAAAGAUGUUCAUAUCAACAAUACUGAACUCUUUCAUGAAGAUCACUUCUCCAUUUGAGGCCAUCUUAAAUAAGUUAUUAACCGUGUCAAAAUCUGGUGUCAACAGUUGCAUAUAAAGAUACAUGGCGAAGUGGAAGAAGAAAGAUGACAGCCAAAAUAGAAGUCCAUUUCAUGAAAUGCUCCGUGACUCUUUCCCACUUGCGACUGUGUUGGCUGGGGUGUUCAUCCCCUUCAGGCUUCACAGUUGAGCACGUGAUCCGCCUUCCACUCAAUCCGCCGAUGGGGGGGGGGAUCAUUCCUCGGCACUGACAAGUAGUUUAGGUUAGAUUUUUUUCCGCUCACAGGGGCACACUUCAUGUUUGAGAUGGUCUUAUCGAUUUUGCCCUCAUCGGGUUUGUCCGCCUGAGAUGAGUUUGAUGGAGCAAUGGUGUAAAAUUAUUGUCGUCUCUAAGGUCGAGGUUCCAAAGAAUGAUGAUCCAAAGUCAACCAGACUUUUUUUCUUCUUGUACGUUUAGUUUUAUGGUAGUUUGAAGAGAUAUUUAGCAUAGUCCUAGAAAAAUCAAACUCAUUUGGUUAGGCCAACUCCACUGCGCGACCCUAUCUUGUCCGGCCCUGUUCGUUUGGGGCAAAACGGACAAACCAGGCGGCCCAGCGCGCGACGGCCCGGACCCAUCUGGUCCGUUUUGUGUCCAGACCGACCCAUUUCGAGCGCAAACUUGCGCCGGGUUUGGGUCGCGGCGGAAAGCAAACGGACGCUUCGAACGUCCGCGUUGGGGCCGCGUGGCAGGCGGCCACCUACCUCCCACCCGCCAAUAUAAAUGCGCACGGGUGGGUGGCCCCACCUGUCAUCCGCACAGCGAAGGGUCGUCGUCCUUCUUAAAUGGGAAGCCGUGGACCGGUCGUCGUCCACACUUCCCACUCCGGCCCCUCUCUGCCCCCUCGAAACCCGACACCCUCGAAACCCUAGCCGCUCCCCGUCGUCGACCUCGCCGGCCGGCCGCAGCCAUGGGACUUUGGAACUAUGGCCGCAAGGGGAAGCACGACCGCGAGGCCGGCUCCUCCUCGGGUCGCCGUCGCGGAUCCGUGAAGAAGGAGGAGCCCGCGUCACCGUCGCGCUCCUCCCGUCAAGCCCCGCGCCGCCCCCCUUCACCAUUGCCCCUAGGCCCGUCGGCGAGCGCGACCGGCAAUACAUCUGCGCGGACGUGUGCCGGAGGUACUGGGAGACGAGGACGCCGGUCCCGUGGAGCGACGCCCACCUCCCCAACGGAUGGGACCUCUCCGCGGACCGGGUCCCCAUCCCGCCGGUGCCGGCGACCGACCGUGCCCGACGCGAUGAGAUCGCGCGCCGCCGCCGCCUCCUCCCCGAUGACCUGUACUACGACCACAGGUAUGCCCCGACUCUUGUGACACUCCAAAAUUUUAAUUUGGUUUUUAUCAAAAACUUUGUGGUUUUUGAAAAGAGGCCUUUUAAAUUUUCUUUUUCAGAAAACCUUCCACUUAAAAACUUCCUUUUGCUUUGGCAAGGAGUUUUUUUUUGUUCAAACUUUGGUGUUUGAUUUUUCGAAACUUCUUCUCUGUUGGUUCCCUCUCAAAUUCAUUUUUGGAGUUUAAUUUGUUUUCUUUUAAAAUGAAGCUCUAUGAAAAUUUGAGAUUUUCAUAUCUUAGAACCACCCUUGACUUUGCAUUGUUCCCAUGUAGUAAAACCCUUCCAAAACCUCCCCUCCUCCUUGAAAUCAACCUAAGUUCUCUGUCCCAACUAAUCCAAGCAAGUUUUGGAUUUUAUUCUAAUUAUUUUUCCUCUCAAAUCAAUUCUGAAAAUUAUUUGGAGCCUGAGUGAUUUUCAAAGCAAGUGCCCCAUUGCAUUUGAGUUUUGACCUCAAACCAACUCUCCUGGAUAGUCCCUUGUACCCACAACCCAGAACCAUCUUGAUCCACUCCUCCUCUUUUCAAAUUUUUCAAAAUUCAGUCUCUGCAAGUUUGGACCAGAUUUGCCAAAUUUGAUGAAAUUCAUAUCUACACCGCUCCAAAAAUUCCACCAAAAUUCAGGCAGCCUACUUGAGCAAUGAGAAGCCACUCCACCAAAAAUCAGCUCAAGGAAAAAUCACCAGAGGCCAAAUUCAUUCUGUCGAACACUUUGCAUGCACUGUUGCUGUUCAAAAUUCAGAAAAAAUUCAGACUUCAGUGUCAUUUUGCGUUCGUCAGAUUCACUCACGCGCUCACAGUGCACUUGGCACGUUCCUCGCAGCCCCUCCCUCUUGUCCGGGGCUUCACACGCGUGCGUGGAGCCUUCCUGGCGUCGGUGGCACGCUGGCCCGCCCUCGCCGGCGUCUUCUGCGGCGUCGGGACCUCCCGUGGCGGCCGACAGGGGACAAGAACGGCGGCUCAACGCCGUUACGCGCCGCCCAUCGCCCCUCUGCUCUCCGCGUGGCCUCAUGCGUGCCAGCGCACGCCCGUGGCACCGCCACCGUGGCCGGCAAGCACAGAACGUGCUCCCUGCCGCCGACGGGCCCGCGCCGCCCCGUUCUGUCGAACUCACCCCAAAGCACCAAACUCCAGCCCGUUUAGCACCUAAAUGGGACCGGUGGACCUCAACGACGAUGCUCAAGCCCCUAAUCCCACUGCACAUCCACAGCACCGCCGUAAUCACUCGCCGGAGAUCCCCGUUCAUGGCAACCGCCUCGGGCCGCCUAUAAAAAGGGCCCCCGAGCUCACCCUCGUGCAUGCAGCAUCACCACUCCUCACCAAAGCCACGCCAGGCCACUAGGAGGACCUCAAGGAGGUCUUCUCCCCCAACUCCGGCCGCCCCGAUCCGCCUCGGCCUCCACCACGAUUCGCUCCGGUGAGGCCAUCUCCGGCGCCCAAACCUCGUCUGUUACCCUCUCUAGCUACCAGGAGCCUAACCCCCUCUUCAAUUUGACCUUCACAGCUCUCUCCGACGAGUCCCUCGACUACCCGAGCCGCCGUCCACCGGAGCAAAGCUCGCCGUCGACAUGGUACUCGCCGGCGACCACCACCACCACCAACCGACGCGGAAUGGCGCCCUGAGCACGGAGGUACCCUCCGAUCCCCAUGCCUCACCGUGGAUCGCCGCCGGCGACCACCGCGGCUCUCGGGCGCCGACGAGCUCCGUUUCCCCUUUUUUUUUGAAUUUCAAACCUAACGAGUGGGACCCCACCGUCAGCCUCUCUGCCCUCUCUAGUGAAACGUUUUCUGGAAGCGCCUUCGGGCAAAAUGCGCUUUCCCCUUUGGGCUGGCGUAGUUUCUGCCGAAGCGUUUUCUGUUUUUAUAAGCUAGCCCCUGGAAAUCUUCUGUUUCAUUACAGAUGAGUCCCUGGACAAAAACUCUUAUAACUUUUAAACAGAAAAGUAUUUUUGAUUGAUUCUUUUUCUGUUCUCUUUAAAAUUUUGUCUAGUUUUUUAUCAGAUUUAUUUGAAAAAUAUUUGGAAUACUUUUUGUGCACUCCUUGGUAUUUACGAUAGCGCUUGUAUUUUUUUAUACCGUAGAUACCGAAGGAGGUGACGGAGCCGCGAACUUCACCGAGCUAGGCUCCGACUACUCUGAACCAGGCAAGCAUGUUUGAACUUUUGAUAUGAUGAGUGUCUUGGCAUGUUUUGCAUUUAGUUAGUUUCAUGGCAUGUUGAGGAACAUAUCGAUGAACGUUAUUUUAUGCAAUAUUGAGGUAAGUGAGUUCGAUGAUCCAUAAGUGGAUGGAUGUGAGUAUGAAUGGCCAUGUGUUGGCAUGAGGAUGGGUAAGAUGGCAGUGUCGUAGCAUGCCAGUCUUAUGCCAGACUAUGUGACUUCAGUGUCAAACCGUAUCGGUCCAGUUCCUCUCAUUUCCUUCCCUGUACUACCACAUGUUUUCCGCAAGGAAUAUGGUUUAGUAAGUUGCAAACCGCUUUUCUGGUACAUACCAAAAGGAGAGGCCGUGAUGAUGGUUCCAUGGCCCUGGAUUAAAGCCAGUCAUCCGGUCAGGGGGCAUGGGUGUUUCCGGUUGGGACCGAGAGGGGGGCACCCCUUAGAGCGCGCGUAUAUAAAUUUGAUCCCAUGCUAUUCGAGAUUGUGAUCUCCCCGUCUCAAAAGUUUUUCUUGGACGAUGUCUAGGGUGAUUCCUAGCAUCGAGAGGUAGGAUGGGUGUGUACUGGUUAGCUGUGUUUUCUUCCGAAAUACCGUAAACGGAACUAGUCCUUCGUGACUACGGAAAUCCGUUGGCUGUGGGAAAAAUUUUGUACAAACUCUGUAGAGUCAUAUAUUCCUCCAAAUCAUCUAUUCCAUGUCCUCGAUCGGUAUUAUCUUAUCCUAAUCAAAUGGCAGUUUUGAUGACAGAGACUCCGGUGAAUCGCAUGAGUGCUAAGUCCGGUUAAAUGAUUAUUCCUGUGGAUGGACUAACCCAUUUAUUAUCAUGAAUUAAAUGUUUAUUAUGAGUAUUAUUUACUUGUGAAUAAAAGCCCUUUCUGCGAUGUCGCUUAGACGUCCGACUGUGGCAUUGUUAUAUUUUACUUUCUUUUUCAAGCCCUUUCUGUGAUGUCGCCCCGACGUCCGACUGUGGCAUUUCUUUUAAAGCCCUUUCUGUGAUGUCGCCCCGACGUCCGACUGUGGCAUUUCUUUUAAAGCCCUUUCUGUGAUGNNNNNNNNNNNNNNNNNNNNNNNNNNNNNNNNNNNNNNNNNNNNNNNNNNNNNNNNNNNNNNNNNNNNNNNNNNNNNNNNNNNNNNNNNNNNNNNNNNNNNNNNNNNNNNNNNNNNNNNNNNNNNNNNNNNNNNNNNNNNNNNNNNNNNNNNNNNNNNNNNNNNNNNNNNNNNNNNNNNNNNNNNNNNNNNNNNNNNNNNNNNNNNNNNNNNNNNNNNNNNNNNNNNNNNNNNNNNNNNNNNNNNNNNNNNNNNNNNNNNNNNNNNNNNNNNNNNNNNNNNNNNNNNNNNNNNNNNNNNNNNNNNNNNNNNNNNNNNNNNUCGCUUAGACGUCCGACUGUGGCAUUGUUAUAUUUUACUUUCUUUUUCAAGCCCUUUCUGUGAUGUCGCCCCGACGUCCGACUGUGGCAUUUCUUUUAAAGCCCUUUCUGUGAUGUCGCCCCGACGUCCGACUGUGGCAUUUCUUUUAAAGCCCUUUUUGUGAUGUCGCCCCGACGUCCGACUGUGGCAUUUCUUUUAAAGCCCUUUCUGUGAUGUCGCCUCGACGUCCGACUGUGGUAUUUCUUUUAAAGCCCUUUAUGUGGUGUCGCUAAGACGCCCGACUGUGGCAUCAUUUCCUUACAUUUAUUUGUUCACCUUUCGAGGCGUCGCUUCAGACACCCGAUCGGUAUUUAUUUAUGUUUUGUUGGGAUUUCAGGCGGACUACCGCCGUUCCCCUUUUACUUACCUUGUUAUGCUAAUUUUUGAAUGUACAUUGGUGAAUUAAUCAUGACGCAUCCAUGCAUGCAUUUGUUAUAUCUUACGUCCGAACUGUCUUGCGAGUACUUUCAAAGUACUCACUGGCUUGUUGAUUUGGCCAGAUGCUGACGAAGGCGAUCUCAUGGAUGAAGAGUUUGAUAGUGAGUCCGACACCUAGAGGAGUCCCAGUCAGUCUCGUGCGACCCUGGAUUUGGUCACUAUUUUAUAUCCGCUUCCGCUACCAAAUAAAUUCAUCGAGCCUCACCUCGACGCUCGAUGAGAUGAUAGACUUAGAGUCUUGUAUUUCUCUCCCCGCUGUGUUUCUCCACCACCGCCCUAUCCUCGAGUCAGUAGUAUGCCUCCACACCACUGUGUCAUGUCCGCCAUUAUGUAUAAUUAUUGGCGUGCUUGUAAUAAUUUGGUUGGGCAACCGUAGUUCAACCCUGUAAUAUAUUUUAUGCUACUGGCUUAUUGUAUCAAGAAUUUGUCUACCAGUGAGGAGGAUUUCUCUCAUACUGGACUCAAAAGAUUGGUUUCUCAAUAAAUAUUUUUAUUGGAAAACCGGUCGUGACAACUCCCCGCUGUGGGACACAUGGCUCCAGGACGAGCACGAUAUGUGCCGCGCGUCGUACUUCGCCGGCACGGUGUCGGGGCCACGGAGGCCACGUGCAGAGGCGCGUGGGCGUACGCGGGUGCGCGGCCUGACGCCCACGCCGUCGCCUUCCCCGUCUCCAUCGCCACCUCCACCUCCUCGCAUGACAGCGGAGGAGGAGGCCCGUCUCCUGCAGCGUGUCAUGGAUGACUCCAUGAACACGCACGACGAGCGGCAAUGGGACGGCCUGGAGGAGGCCAUGGCACUCUCUGCCGCCGGGGACGUCGCCUUCCCGGAGCUGCAGAUGGCGGCCAUCACGGAGGAGGCGAUGGAGGAGGACCCGCCGGCCGCGUUCCAGCAACUGCUGGGCCAGGGGUGGGGCUGGUCCUGCACUGCUCCGGAGAUGGCCGCCGGCGUGGGCGUGAACUGAUGCCCCACUCCGCCACGGUCACCGGAGCGGGAGGCGUCGCCACGGGAGGAGGUGGUGCAGGCACCUCCCGCCGUCCAGCCCGUCCCCGUCUACCACGCACCGCCGACCCACCUGUGGACGCCGCCGGCCUACGUCGACCUCGUCAGCGACGGCGACGACACCGGCGGCCAGUGAAGACAGCGACGGCCACGGUACCGACGGGUGCGGUAGGAGCGUACGGGAGGCGUUUUUUUAUUUUGUUCUGGGUCUUUUAGUGGCCGUGGAAACUGGACCGUUUUGUGGCCAACCCCUAUAUAUGUUUUAUGUUUUUUUAAAUGCGUUUAUUUACUUUUUUAGUUAUUUCAUUCUAGUUUUUAUAGUUUUUUUUAUUCACGUCCACCCCGGACAUGAUUGGGGUGCGGCCGCGUGAUGGGCGCACGCAUGACCCAGCUGACAAAGCCGGACACGGGCAAAUCCAUCGGCUUUCCAAAAAGACAAAAUCCGGCCAAUCCGAACGUCCGUUUGGAGUCGUGCGGCGGAGUUGGCCUUAUUCAGCCCACGGGAGACCCCUAGAUAUCCAAACCUAGACAACCCUCCCUUGUUUACAUCGAUGGAUUUCUCAUUUCUCGCUUGAGACGUCGCGUCACUUGAUGGGUACUGUAGUUGGUGGUUAACACGUAGCAGCGGUACCGAGUACCCACAGCUUGGAAAUGAUGGUGACAUGUGGGCCCCUGGUGACUAGAUCACAUCUCAGCGCAUGCGGCCACCAGGCUUUGUGCGUGUAUGUGCCGGGUAAACAAAGCUUUGUUUCAGCGUUUGGGCGGCGGACAGGCAGUCCGAAAGGAUGCUCCAGGUAUUUUAUUCCACCUUUCACAUCUUUUCUGGACAAAAUUACACAGGAACCACAUGUAGGGCCACUAGGAUCCUCAACAGUUAGGAGAGGCAGAAAUACUAUUUCAUAGUCUAGUGCCAAUUUUUAAAAUUCUACAUCAAUGUUCCAUGUUUUUCUUUUAAGAGUGUUUCAUGGAUUUUUCAUGUGUGAUUAUCAGAGGAAAAUACACGAGUGUCUUUAAGCCUAUAGUAUUUUUCUUCUGUGAAAUGUAAUGCAAGAAUACUUUUUUUUAGAACGAAGGCUCAAGAAGAGCCCGGCUUUGAAUUAACAAAGCCAUCAACCGGCCAGGCGUACAAGAUAGCAACUUACAUCAAGAAAGAGGAAAGCCGAAAGAAAAGAUACAAUGUGUCCAGCAGAACAACUCGAAGGCAAAGAGCACACCGCUCUUGCCAUUGAACGACGCAAAGCUAGAAACUAGCUAACCUACGGAGGCGCCAGAAGGAGGGCACCCCCAUUCAUGAUUCGUGUCACUGGCUGCCACCAAAGGGAUCAAACAGAGCACACAUGAUCUGACUCCGCCACCGCAAAGGGUCCCUACCCUACCACCCGGGUUCGACGGGUGUCGCACCGGCGGCCGACGGAGUGAUUCACCCUAGAAUCCAAAUCAGAGUGCCCCGGCUGCCAAAGGAGAGGCACCAGGGACAGACCCACAUGAAACGGAGGACCGACCACCAAAACACCGGCGUCGGCAGCAGCAAGGCAAAACACCGGACGAGAGUUAUCGGGCGCAGACGCUGGAACCUCAGAGAAGGCCAAAAGCAUGCGCCACCAUGCCCCUGGUCGAGGAUAGGAAUCGCCACGCCGAAGGCCUACCGCCGGCAUGGCGGCAGGGACCCCAAUCCCCUCGAACUUGCGGCUGGAACCCUCCGCACCUGGACCAGAGAAGGGUGCCGUUGAAGAAAUCAGGCCAUCAAUUGCCGCCGUCGCACCACACCCAACUCCACCACCACUCGAGCCAUCCCCGGACGACACCCUUAGGAAGGAACACGCCACCAAAAUGUCGUUGUCGCCAUGAAAAGGGGACCUGAGGCUUUCACCUGAGCUCUUGGACGGGAUGGGAGGAGGAGUCCCACCGAAGCCUCCAACAAGGUAAACGACGCCCAAAGGCGCCGCCUUCGGUGUGGCCGCUGCGCCGGCCAGGGGUUUCCCUCGGAUCCGCCCCAAGCACCAGAUCCGCGCACCCGACGAUGAGAUCCGGCGACCAGAGCCGCCAGAGGCCAAGAUCCGCGCGAAUCGGAGUGGAUCGAGGUUGAAGACGCCACUUCUCCAGGGCGCAAACGACUGGCGAGGAGUCACCGCAGCAGCCGUCGCCCGCCGCCUCCGCGCCGCCCUCACGGCCAGGGAGGUGGCCCACCUGCACCCGCCGACGCCACNNNNNNNNNNNNNNNNNNNNNNNNNNNNNNNNNNNNNNNNNNNNNNNNNNNNNNNNNNNNNNNNNNNNNNNNNNNNNNNNNNNNNNNNNNNNNNNNNNNNNNNNNNNNNNNNNNNNNNNNNNNNNNNNNNNNNNNNNNNNNNNNNNNNNNNNNNNNNNNNNNNNNNNNNNNNNNNNNNNNNNNNNNNNNNNNNNNNNNNNNNNNNNNNNNNNNNNNNNNNNNNNNNNNNNNNNNNNNNNNNNNNNNNNNNNNNAUACUUCAAAUAAAGAAUUCGUAUGUAUUGCAAAUCUAACAAAUCAAGCGACCAAGCGGAUUUUUUCUUCAGGAUUGCAAUCCUCAAAUUCUUUUGACGAAGGGAUUAUUAGUUUGCUUUUAGUUUUUGUUAAGGCAUUCUUUUUCGCAAGUCUGAUUUAUACUAGACAGUACCCCGCUCAUUGCCAUGGGGAUUAAAUAUUUGAUUUCUGAAUGUUGCAUGCAAUAUGAAUUCACACGUCGCGGUCCCUGCCCUCGCUGAUGACCAGCUACACCUGUAGUUUCCGUGUUGACACUUGCAGGUUCAGGGAAUGUAGCUUUUUAGUCGCAAAAACGCAGUUUUUAUUUUUGAGAUAAAGAGAGAACGUAACCGGGUUACUACCCAUGGGCCGAAUGGUUGGGCUGUACGUUUGUGGCCUUCUAAUCGUAGCGUGCGUGCAAGUGUGUGGCUGUUUCCUAAAAAAAGUGCGUGUGGCUGUUAAAUACCGAAAUUGAUUGCUGUAGUGGUAUAAGGGCAUCUCCAAUCGCAACUCGCAUUUUUUUUUCCGUAUUCGUCCGCGGAAAAGAGGAGACCAGUCCACAGACACAAAUACGGAAGGACGCCAUCUAACUCUAGCUGCAUACAUCUCAUCCUGCAUUUUAGCAAAGCGGACGAAAUUCAUGCAAACCGGCCGAUAUCAUCAAAGUUUGGAUAGAAAAUAGUACAAAUCGUUCAUACAUACCAUGCAAAUUAAGUUAGUACAACAAGGUCUCAAAUUCGACUAGAUCCCGGAUGUCCAACAAGUUUUUCAUGAACGGAUCAUGUCGUCCCACACAUACUCCCCCUCUUUUUUUUGCAUUCUAAUCAGAGAGUUUUAUUCAACGAACGAACUCCUGGCAUCAUCAGCUAAUAAGCUGGUGAGCAGGAAAGAGGGUUUUGAGCCAGUCCAACUUUCGGUAACCAUCAAAGUGCAUGCAUGUUUUGCACAAAGAUGGGCCGGUACAUUGGCUGCUCGAUUUACAUGUUGAAUAUCAAAGGAAGAAAAUACUAAAGCUAGCUCUCUAAUCUCUACUAGUAAUGGUGCCACUACAGAAAAUCCAUAGUGACUAGUUUUCCAGAGAUUGACAAUCUCCAGGCAAUCUGUUUCCAUAAUCACAUGUGAGAAACCGCGUAAAUUUGCAAAAAUGACUCCAUCCCGCAGCGCCAAAGUCUCACCAAUGAACGGAUCGGAGACCCCGAGGUGAGGCUUACACCAAGCCCCAGGCAAAGCAUUGUUGGAACGUGCCACUCCGCCUGCUCCUACCUUAUCAGAAUCCACCCCCAAGGUUGCAUCUAUGUUGAUUUUCACCACUCCUUCAUCAUGCAGUACCCAACCAUGUACAGGAAGAAUGGAUGCAUGAGACUCGGGUAUAUCUAGCAAAGCGAGAUCCUCCCUGAUGCGCUUGACGGAAGAAAAUGGGUCGAGCUGCUCUUCAUCAUGGGUGACCCUGUUUCUUGAAUGCCAAAUAGACCACAUGACCGAGAUCAUCACCGCCCUCUCGCUUUCAGCGAACUGCCCACACAAAGGAUAUCACGAGACCAUGUAUUUGGGUGCAACCGAGGUCUUCGGAUACCAAACAGCGAAUGCGCUUGUUCCCAAAACAUCUUGGCAUGAGAGCAAUGCACUAGAGCAUGCAUCAAAUCCUCAUCCAUCGCAAGACAAACAUUGCAUCUACUGAUGACUUUCAUAUGACGACGCCGAAGGGUGCAUUCAUCGGGUAGUAUACCACGAAUAACCCGCCACCAGAAUACACCCACCUUUGGCAAAACCUUGAGCUUCCAUAGUAGUUUCCACAUCUGUUCAUCGGUCUGUGAGGUAUUGGUCACCGUUCCUUCCUCUAGAGCAACACUCUCUUUCCGAGUCACGAGAGCACGGUACGCGUAUUUCACCUCCAGCUUCAUCCAACAGUGUGUGCACGUAAAUGACCGUCCCUCUAUCCCGUGGUACACCACGAUAGCGCGUGCGGGCUACAUAUAACGGGUAGACCAACAUUGAGUAAAUGAAUCAAUCAACAAGUUGAGCAAGAGGAAGAAAACCUUACGAUCCCGUCCUCUACCGUGUGCAAUGGACACCUCCAUGGUCGAGUAGCUCUCCAUCCUUCAUACUUUAAAAAACAACAUAGCAUUUAAAAAUAAGCUCAAUGACAUUUGAUCGAAUACCUGUCAGGCGUGGUGUCCGCCAUGGAGGUCAUCGAUAGGGGGCAGAGUGUACCUGGGUACAAACCGCUCUAGGGUGGAAAGCUCCGUCGUAACGGUGAGUGGGCGCGUCGGUGCUGGUUGAGGACCGCCGACAAUGCCUCUGUGGCGGUUGGAGAUGUACAACAGCGCCGCGGAGGUGGAGGGUGCGGAUGCAAAACAAGGGGAAGGGGCGGAGUGGAAGGAAAUGAGACCAGUAGGGGGAUUCGGUGGGCCGGGGGUGUCGGAGUCCUACAUUUCGGGUGUUCGGACUCCCGCAAACCUCCCCCACUUUGUCUGUAAUUUGCAAGAGAAACCGCGUCCGGACUGUCCCACAGACCGAUACAGGUCCGCGUUGGAUGACUUCCUCAGUCCGGACAAUCACGGGCGGUUUGCCGGUCAACCUUGGAGAUGCGACGAAAAAAAAUUCUAUUUGGCUCCCAAGCUCCAGUGAUCCAUUUAUUCAAAAGUAAAAAUAAAAACCAUAUUUAUAUAAGUAAAAAGAACUAACAAAAAUAUCUAAAUGUAGUCAAUUAUGUAUCCUAUAAGCAUACAAAAUUGCAGCGCUACACACAAAUGACAAAAUCUGGUAAAUUUUGGAGUUUGGAAUAUAGGCACCGUUCACUAUACUUAGGUCCGCACUUUUUUUCAUUCUUGCGCAGUUCAGAAUUCAAAUUAUUUCAAAUUGAGGUUUUGCACGUUUGUAGGAUAAAUUGAGGUUUUUAUCAUUAACUACAUCCAGAAUUUUAUCAGAUUUUUAUGAAACUUGCAAAUGUGAUUUUUUUGAAAUAAAGAGAGCACUGGAGCUUGGGAGCCAGAGAUCCCUACUCUGUAAUCAAUUGUUGUACUAGUAUAAAUGACGAAAAUUCUCUUUAGCUCCCGAGCUCCAGUGAUCCCUUGUUUUAGAAAAACAAGUGAAAGUCACAUUUAUAAGUGAGACAAGAGCUGACAAAAAUAUCUAGUCGAUGAUGUAUCCUAUAAGCACGCAAAAUCCCAUCAAUAAAUUCUUUAAAAUUUGGCCUACACAAAAAUGAUAAAAUCUGAUAAAUUUUGGAGUUUGGAAAAUAUGCAUCGUUCACUAUACUUAGAUCCUUCCCUUUUGUUAUUCUCGUGUAGUUCAAAACUCAAAGUAUUUCAAAUUGAGGUUCUGCUCGUUUAUAGGAUAAAUCAUUAAUUACAUCUAGAAUUGUUUUUAGAUUUUUUAAAACUUGUUAAUAUUUAAAAUAAUAAUAAUAAAGGGAGCAUUGGAGCUUGUGAGCCAGAAAUGUCAACUAUUAUUUAGCCGAUUGAUGUACUAGUAUAACUUUCAGAAAAUCUCUUGGGCUCCCAAACUCCAGUGAUCUCUUUAAAAGAAUUCUUAUUUAUAAAAACAUAUAUUUGGAUGUAGUGAAUGAUCUAUCCUAUAAGUAUGUAAACUCGCACCGCUAAAUUAUUUGAAUUUUGGCCUACACGAAAAUGACCAAAUCUUAUAAAUUUUGAUUUAGCAAAAUAUGAAGCAUUCACUAUACUUAGAUCCAUAAUUUUUUAUCUUGUGUUGUCCAGAAUUCAAAGUAUUUCAAAUUGAGGUUUUUGUAUGUUUGUAGGAUACAUCAUUAACUAUGUCCACUGUUUUUUUCCAGACCUUUUUGAAACUUGUAUUUUUUUUUGAGUUUUCAAAAUAAAAUGAGCACUGAAAGAUUAGGAUUUUGAUGAUCUGUUGAGUCAUUUGGAUAUGAAAGAUUAGGAUUUUGAUGAUAUGGUUAUAGAAUAGGAAGAAUUCAAGAAUAUGAAGGCAAAUGCUAAGAGCAUCUCUAACCAAUCCCUUAUAAUUUAGCCCCUCAAACGGGCCCCUUAUCCCUUAACUUCUUAUAUUUGGUCUACUAAAUAAAAACGGUUCUUAGCCGGUCCCCUAAACCUAACUCCCUCUUUUUUCCUCUGCCAAAUCUUCCUACUUAUUUUUACAUGCUACAUUUCAACUACAUAUUUGUACACAUAUUAAAUCCUAACAUAAUAAUUAAGGUUCACAUAAUUCAUGAAUAUUAAGAAUUCAUAGUUUACAAGCAAAACUAUUCAAACUUACAAACAAAAUUAUUCAAGUCAAACACAUGUGAGGGUUCAAAUGAAGUAAAGAGGAUGAUAAAAACACAACCAUGAAGUGCUAUGGAGUAGCCACUGAUGUUCAACAAGAUCAUCCUGGAGCUGGUAGGAACUUCCCAGUUCUCGAUGCUUUGAUGCGCUACGAGGAAUCUCUGCAUCCUAUUUGCAUCGUGUUCCCUCGUGGAAAAACACAGAAGCACAAAUGUGCUUGUCAUGACAAAAGGAUAUGUGCUUCCACGAGAAGCACAUAUUUGUUACCACGAGAAGCACAACCGUGAUUCUUGAAGAAGGAAAAAAAAUACAUGCUUCCAUGGCAAGAACAAAUUUGCUUUUAUGGAAGCACAAAUCUGUGCUUCUCUCGAAGGAAAAUAAAAAUAUGUGCUUCCAUGGAAGCACCAUUUUGCUUCUACGAGCUUCUCUGAAAAAGAGAGAAAAACUCCAAAAAUAUAUAUGAAAAAUCCACAAUCGCGCUUCUCCGAUCUUUUUGUAUUCAUUUUUUGUGUGAACCAUUUUUUGUUUUCGUUUAUUUUUUUAUUUUGUCCUUUCGUCAGAAAGUCCAUCGAAACCUAUUGACAUUGUAUCAAGUAUAGAAGAUCUCCAGACGAGAAACAUAACGACGGUUUGAGAUACGGACGCAUGGCUCAAGAGAUAAAGUAUUUUGAAUAAACGAAUCUACGGAAAAAGGAAAACAUCCAGGUUGCGACAAGUGCCGCACAUGCACCGUGCCACAUAUCUGCGCCUCAGAAGGCGGGGAAGACUUUUGCCAGGGGUACCCCUUCACUAGUGAUUUCGCCAUCUCAACUAACAUUUGUGGCCAGUCCUAUUUAUCUUGUACCGCGGUGGAUAGAGAUCUACCGCUUGGCACACUUUGGCCCGACCGAACUUGCUACUGACCUCUUUUUUUUCUUUAGUUUCCUUUGUUUUUUUUUUCAUUUUCGUUAUUUCCUCUCUUUUUUCAUGUUCAUUUUUGGUUUUCUUUUUUUUCUUUUACCAUAUUUGUUUUACAUUUCUUUCCUUUUCCUUUUUCUUUAUGUUCCCCUUCAUUUUUGCGAACAUCUUUUCAAAUUCAUGAGAUUUUUUUGAAAUCAUGAACAUUUUUAAAAAUCAUGAAUAUGUUUUGAAUUUAUGAACAAUUUUAUGAAAUUUUAAACUUGAUUCAAAUUCAGAAACAAUUUUUACAAAUUGGCAAACAUUUUUAAAUUGUAAUCACUUUUCGAAUUUGCAAACAUUUUCCUUAGAAUUCAUGACAUUUUUCGAAAUUGUGAACAUUUUUUUGAAACUCACAAACAUUGUUUGAAUCAUUCAACUAUUAUUGAAUUUGGGAUCAAUUUUUGAAGUUCACGAAAAAUUGUUUGAUUUGACGAACAUUUAAAAAAAUGCAUGAACAUUUUUUGAAUUCCCUAACAUUUUUUGAAAUAUUUAACACUUUCUUAAAUUCAUGAAUAUUUUUGGGUUCUUGCACGUUUGUUUAAAUUCACAAACAUUUUUGGAUACUUUUUUUCUCAAUAUUGAAUUUUCUUAUUACUAGAAUAAAAAUAAAAAUCAUGAUUUUUUUAUGAAUCAGUGAGUAUUUUAUGAUUUCUUGAACAUUUCACUCACAUGUUUUGAAAAUUGGAAAUUUUUUAAUCCCGAAUUAAUAAUAAAAAAUGGUAAAAGAGAAACGAAACCUAAAUAAUUAAAAACAACAAAAACAUGAAAUAAAAAAAAUCAGGGGGUGAGCUGCCCCUCACCUGGGCUGGUCCAGAAGGGCGCGUUGGGAGCUGGGGGUGCGCGCUACGCCUCUUUCCAUCGCAUAGAGUGCCAAAUAGCAGCUCCCAUCGUUUUUUCAGUGGUAAAUGCAAAGCUUUUAUUGAUCAAAAACCGUAGAAUGCGGGACACUUCUCGGAUCGUGAGGACGGCCCAGCCAAACAUGGGGCCACGGACCCAAAGAAUGCGAAAAUUUGCUAAAGUAUCUGCUCUCGUGUUCGAGUCACAACAUUAAAAAAAUAAAGCUACAGUUAAAAGUAGAAGCUCUCUGUUGAAUUUCACUAUUUGGUUGCCACUACGGGUAUCACCCAUGACCUGCUUUGAAUCACACGUGACCAUGAACCACGGCGACUAUUUCUCGCUUUAAGCGAGAUUCCCUUCUGUCUCGCUAUAGAUCUUUCCUGUGCAAUGAAGUUGUCAGGCUGGCCUAGUUUUGCUCUUUUUUUGUUCACGGUCGCUUGCAGCGCUUGGUUCGCUUGUUCGCUGGGCGCGGCGACUAUUUCUCGCUUUAAGCGAGACUCCCUUCUGUAUCGCAGAAGAUCUUUCCUCUGCGACCAGUUAUCGGGCCGGCCCAGUUUUGCCGUUUUUUUCGUUCGCGAUGGCUUGCUUGGUUCGCUCAUUCGCUGGGCCAUUUUUUGAUCGUGUUGCUUCGCUAGCUAACCUUCCUUCACAGGUUUUGCUAGAUUUUUUUUCCAGAUUUUCUUGUUUUCUCACUACUUUCUCCGGUUUUUACUUUUUCAAAAUUGUUUCUCUUCCUUUCUUCUUGGGUUUCAUUGGUUUUCUCUUUCUUUUUCACCGGUUUUCUUCCAUUUCUUCUCUGUUUUAUUUCCUUUUCAUUUUCUAUUUUGUUUUUCAUGGGUUUUCUUUGUUUUCAAUGUUUUCAAUGUUUCCUUAUUUCUUUAUCAAUUUUCAUAGUUAUUCCAUACUUUUUGCAUUUGUUUCUUCAGUUUUAUUUAGAUUUUCUUUUUUGUGACUCUUUGUUUAAUUUUUGUUUUCAUUGUUUUUCGUUUCUUUUGGUUUUCAUUCUACAUUUUUUUUAUAAGUAAAGAACAUUUUCGUAAUACACAUGUAACAUUUUUUAAAUACGAGAUUGAAUUUUCUAAUACAUGGUCACAUUUUUUCUGUACACGUUUUCCCCUCUAAAUUCUUGGUUAAGAUUUUUCAAAUACAGGUUUAACUUUUUGUAAUACAUGGUCAACAUUUUGUCUAUACACAUCUAACAUUUUGUCUAUACACAUCCAACAUUUUAAAUAGUUGUUAGACAUUUAUUUAAAUGCUUGAUUAACAUUUUUAUAUACAUGAUUAAAAAAUUCAUCAUUUUUAAAUCGAUGGUCAAUGUUUUUUGUAUACACAUUUAACAUUUUUCAGAUGCAUGAUUAACCUCUUUCCAAAUACUUGUUCAACAUUUUUUCAAAAUCUUGAUUGACAUUUUUAUAUACAUGGUAAACAAGUAUUAUCAUUUUUAAUACAUGGUCAAUUUUUGUUGUACACAGAUUUUACAUUCCCAAAUGCUUGAUUAACAUUUGUCAAGUACUUGUUAAAUAUUUUUUCAAAUGCUUGAUUAACAUUCUUUAUAUACAUGAUGAUUUUUUAUCUGUUUUUUAAUACAUGGUCAACAUUUUUUCUGUACACAUUUAACUUUUCCCAAAUGCUUGAUUAACAUUUUUCAAUUACUUCUUCAAUUGUUUUUUCAAAUGCUUCCUUAAUACUUUUAAAAUACAUAUUUUUUAUAUAUUAUUUGUAUUAUUAUAUUUUUUUCUCUUUACACAUUUAACAUUUUCAAAUACUUGGGAAACAUUUUUUAAAAAGUUUUUAUAUAGUUAUUUUACAUUAUGUAUUUAGAAUAUUUUAAAGUAUAUACAAAAGUAAAAAAUGUAAGCAAAAAAGAAAACAGAAAACGUAAAAAGAAAACCGAAAAAGAGACUGUUGAGCCCGCGCAACUUGGCUUGCCCAUCUGGAGCUUCCUGACGCGAGGCUCGGCCUCUGUCUCGCAUUGGAGCCCUCGCUGAAGGGGUGCCGCGAGUUGGCCCGGAAAGUAACAGCUUCGUUUUAUUAUUUUUUCUAGUUUUCUGUUUUCGUUCUUUGCUUUCUUUUUAAACUUUUGUUUAUACUUCCAAAUAUUCAGAAUAAAUAUAUUACAAAAAUCACUCUACACAAAAAUAUUUGAAAAAUGUUGACAAAGCAUUUGAAAAAUAUUAAAUGUGUAUAGAGGAAAUGUUAAUCGCGUAUACGACAAAUGUAUACAAAAAAAAUGUGUAUGAAAGAAAUUGCUCAUGUAUUUAUAAAAAAUGAAUCAAGCAUUUGAAAAAAUGUUGAACAAAUGUUAGAAAAAUGUUAAGCAAGCAUUUGGAAAAUGUUAAUUGUGUAUAAAAAAAGGGUUGAACAUGUAUUAAAAAAAUAUUGAAACAAAUUUGAUCUUGUAUAUAAAAAUGUUAAUCAAGCGUCUGAGAAAAAUUCUGAACAAAUAAUUGAAAAAUGUUCGAUGUGUAUGAAAAAAUGUUGAUCAUGUAUUAAAAAAAUGAUUAAGUAAUUUGAUCACGUAUACAAAAAUGUUAAUCAAUCAUUUAAAAAAUGUUAAUUGUGUUUAGGAAAAAUGUUGACCAUGUGUUAAAAAAUGUUAACAUGACAUUUCAAAAAUGUUAAUCAAGCAUCUGAAAAAUAUUAAAUGUUAAUUGAAAUUUUUUUGGCCGUGCAUUUGAUUUUUUUAAUCUUGUAUUUNNNNNNNNNNNNNNNNNNNNNNNNNNNNNNNNNNNNNNNNNNNNNNNNNNNNNNNNNNNNNNNNNNNNNNNNNNNNNNNNNNNNNNNNNNNNNNNNNNNNNNNNNNNNNNNNNNNNNNNNNNNNNNNNNNNNNNNNNNNNNNNNNNNNNNNNNNNNNNNNNNNNNNNNNNNNNNNNNNNNNNNNNNNNNNNNNNNNNNNNNNNNNNNNNNNNNNNNNNNNNNNNNNNNNNNNNNNNNNNNNNNNNNNNNNNNNNNNNNNNNNNNNNNNNNNNNNNNNNNNNNNNNNNNNNNNNNNNNNNNNNNNNNNNNNNNNNNNNNNNNNNNNNNNNNNNNNNNNNNNNNNNNNNNNNNNNNNNNNNNNNNNNNNNNNNNNNNNNNNNNNNNNNNNNNNNNNNNNNNNNNNNNNNNNNNNNNNNNNNNNNNNNNNNNNNNNNNNNNNNNNNNNNNNNNNNNNNNNNNNNNNNNNNNNNNNNNNNNNNNNNNNNNNNNNNNNNNNNNNNNNNNNNNNNNNNNNAAAUAAUGUAAUGAAGGAUUAAGAAAAUGUUGAAAUGUGCAUAGAAAAAAAUGUUGAUUAUGUAAUAAAAAUAUUAUUUUUCUAUUGAAUUUUUUUAAACAUGUAUUAAAAAAUAUUGUUGAAGUAUACAGAAAUGUAGAAAGAAUAUCAAAAGAAGCAAAGAAAAUUUCAAAAAUUAAAAUUGUAAAUAAACCAAAGAAAAAAGAAAAUAAAAAUUAAAACUGAAGAAACUAAUGCAAAAAAAAUAAAAUAAAAAACCAGAUAAGAAAAAAGAAAAGAAAUCGAAGGAAACAAAAGUAAUGGAGAAAGAAAGAAAAAAGUAUCAAAAACAAAGAAAGAAACAAAAACCGAAAAUGAUAAUAAUAAAAGAAUGUGUAAAAGCCAUCUCUCUUCCUUCUAGUAGGCCGCGCCCUAUGUAUUGUACAUGAACUAGAAGUGAGCGUAGUUUCUAACAGUGUCGUGAAGCAACGAGGAGAUCUGCAGCUCACGACCCUAUCCCAUGUAAGGUUUUCGGGUAUUCCCGUUCUGAAUACGCACCAGGACUUCCCCGAAAAAUUAGGACCCCAAGAGAAGAUUAGGGUUUCAAGUGGAAAAACGGCGGCCGUCGACCGUUCUCGUUGGUGGGCUGCAUAGAGGGGACCCAGAUGGCCGCGACACCGGGUUCGUCGAGCAUCAAGGGGGCCCUCUCACCUAGGGCGGCAAGGGCGUGCAUGGAGGAAGCCAUGGGAAAACUCGAUCUCACGGGAGAGGAAGCAACACCACUGGUCUUGGAUGAUGUUGAUGACGGCGCAAGGCAGGUCUGGGUGAUCGCGGGGAAGGUCUUAUACCGGAAUCUGUUGCAUAUUCGGACGAUCGCCAACGCUUUGCGCCCGACUUGGGGAAACCCUAGAGGCCUGGUGUUCCGCUCGGUGGGUGAGAACAUCUUCGUGACUGAAUUUGAGACCCAGCGCGAUCGUGAUCGCGUGUGGGACAGAUCCCCAUGGCAUGUGAGAAAGCAUGCUAUGAUUCUCGUGGAGUUCAAGAAGAGUAUGCGACCGUCAGAGCUACAGUUUGACAAACUUCAGAUUUGGGCCUGGAUUUUAGACCUCCCGUUCAAUUUGAGGAGUGACGCAAGGGGCAAAGCAGUGUCAAGGCAAAUAGAUGAGAAUGCAUAUGUUGUCCAGUUGGAUCCCUUUGGUGGUUUCCUGAGAGCUAGGGUGACCAUUGAUGUCCGGAAGCCAUUGCACAGGUGGAUCUUGAUUGACUCCACGGUGAGAGGCAGUAGGGACUAGUAUGACAUACAGUAUGAACAUGUGCCCUAUUCUUGCUUCUCAGGUGGACGAUUGGGCCAUUCUGAUCUUCAGUGUCCGACGCCUGGUUCGAGGGAUGAUAAUGGUGAUCUACCGUUCAAGACUAGUCUGAGAGCGCCGGAAGAGAAGAAGAAAUCAGUGUUCAACGAGGGCUCGUCGAAAGAGCAACAGUCUAGUCACAAUAGCAACAAGGAGGCUCGCACGGUGAAUGAAAAAAAUAUAUGCUAAUCCCGAGGUUGUCUCCCCUCCCAAGAAAAACAAUCAGAAGAAUAAGAGAAAGGGAGGUCCUCAGGGGCAGAAACAAGUGUAUAGGCAAAUUGCACUGCGAGCGGUCUCCACCGAAGAGCAGGUGCAAGAUAAGGGAGCCGCCAAUGCCAUGGUGGUUUUUAGAGCUGGAGAGAACAAGAUGGUGGGCGAGGGCGGAGACACUAGGACAAAACCCGAUCCAAAGAAGAAGAAACCUACACCCACCAAUUCUCAGAACUCGGAUUGUUCGGGGGCGGCUGCGGAGCAGCCCCACCGAGACCAAUGAGUUGUCUAAGCUGGAACUGUCGGGGGUUUGGGAACCCUGCGGCAGUUCGUGAGCUUCGCAACAUUGUGAAGGAGGAAGGACCCAAUCUCCUAUUUGUCAUGGAGACGAAAAUUUCGGCACACAGAGUGGAGAGUUUGAAAAAUUUACUAGGGUUUGCGGGCUGUUUUGCAGUUAGCAGCAUUGGUCUAAGUGGGGGAAUUGGCAUGUUCUGGUCCACGAAUUUGGAUGCUGAUCUGAAGAAUUAUAGCGCCGGCCAUAUUGAUCUUAUGGCGCGGAAGAAAAGUGAUGUCACGAAGCAAUGGCGGGUGACAAGUUUCUAUGGAGCUCCCAAAGCUGAAGAUCGUCAUCAUAGUUGAAGGUUCAUGAGGACACUAUAUGUAAUCUAGCAUGAGGCGUAGAUGUGCAUUGGAGACUUCAACGAGACAUUGUGCGGCUCGGAGCACUUUUCCAGAAGCCCUAAGUCUCGAGUGGCAAAUGUGGGCAUUUCGGGAAGUGACGGACGAGUGCUCUCUUAUUGACUUGGGUUGGUCGGGGACUGAAUAUACAUGGGAUAACUUGCAGCCCGGGAGAUCAAAUGUGAAAGCCCAGCUAGACCGAGCUUUUGGUAAUUCUGCUUUCAUACAAAUGUUCUCGCACAUCAAGGUGAGACACAUUGUGACAACAGAGUCAGAUAAUUGUUUUGUGUUCAUGGAUCUUCGUGAGCACUUGGCGUCGGCAGUGCCCAGAGGCCCAAAACCAUUCAGAUACGAGGACAUGUGGGAAACGCAUGUGGACUACGACAAACUGGUGCUCGAUUCAUGGCAAAGGGGCGUGGGCCGAGAAGGACUACAUGGUGUGGUUCAAGCCCUUACUGCGUUGUAGGGCAAUCUGGCGGCAUGGAGGCGAAGGAAUUGGGGUGCUUGACAUGCAAGAUUAGGAAACUGUGGGGGCAGCUCUCCUGGUUGCAUGCUCAAUCUUUCUGAAGGGGGCCAUCAGACGAAGAGAAAGCAGUGGCUAAGAAACUGAAGCUAGGGCUGCAUCAAGAAGAAAUUUGGCUCCGUCAACGAUCACGUGUUCCAUGGCUGCGGGAGGGUGAACGAAACAUGGGCUAUUUCCAUGCACAUGCUACCCAACGCAGGCGCAUGAACAAGAUAGAAAAUCUUAUCUGUGCUGAUGGUACGGUCUGUAGUAAUCUGGAUGAAGAUCGAGCUGAGGUUCAGCAGUUCUAUGAGCAGCUGUAUACAUCACAAGGUUUUCACCAGAUGGAGGAGUUGUUAGAUGUUAUACUUCCCCUGGUGACCCGUCUUAUGAAUGAUGAACUUGGUAAGCCGUUUACAGAAGAGGAGGUGCACCGAGCCCUCUUUCAGAUGGCUUCGUCGAAGGCCCCAGGGGUUGAUGGUUUCACGACGGGAUUCUUUCAGCGCCAUUGGAAUCUGCUCAAAGAUGAUAUUGUUCCAGUGGUGCUUGAUUUUCUUAAUGGGGGAGAACUACCCACGGGUAUGAAUGACACCUCUAUUACCUUGAUUCCCAAGGUACGCUUCCCACAAAAUAUUACUCAAUAUCGACCCAUCUCUCUGUGUCCGGUUUCGUACAAGAUCGCCGCCAAGGCUAUUGCUAAGCAUAUCCGAUAGUGUUUGGAUGAUAUUGUUGGUGUUGAACAGAGUGUGUUUGUCCCUGGUCGCCUAAUUACUGAUAAUGUGCUAAUUGCACAUGAGAGUGUGCAUGCCAUGAGAAGAAGGAAGAAGGGGGGGGGGUGCAGUGUGUGCCAUCAAGCUGGACAUGAUGAAAGCAUACGACUGUGUCGAGUGGCACUAUUUGCAAGCAAUCAUGCUGAAGCUUAGUUUUUGUGUGGAGUUUGUUCGCCUAGUCAUGAGUGUGUUACAUCUGUAAGAUUCUCAAUUCGUGUGAAUGGUGAACUUCUCCUUUUUUCACUCCCUCAAGGGGCUUGCGGCAAGGUUGCCCAGCGCCUCCAUAUCUUUUUCUGCUCUAUGCGGAAGGAUUGACAUCACUCCUGAAUCACUUUGGUGGAUUAAGAGUAGACAAAGGCAUUCGAGUCAGCUGCCGAUCUUCGUGGAUUAAUCACCUCCUAUUCGCGGAUGAUAGUCUGAUAUUUAUGCAGGCAAAGGUGGAAAGUGAUCAAAGUCUCAACAAGAUACUGAGAAUUUAUGAGAGAGGCUCGGGGAAGUCUAUUAACAAGGAGAAAAGCUCGGUUUAUUUCAGCCCAAACACCUCUGCUCCGGACAAGCUGCUGCUAAAACAAACUUUGAACAUCUCUUUUGAAGCUUUGAGUGAACGUUAUCUUGGUCUACCUACAGCCAUGGGUAGGAUCACAAGUGGUACUUUUGACCACAUUGGAGAGAGGAUUCGAGUUAAGCUCCAAGGUGGGUCUGAAAGAAUGGUAUCUUGUGUUGGAAGGGAAGUCCGUAUAAAAUCUAUUGCCCAAGCCAUCCCUACCUUCAGCAUGAGUUGUUUCAAGUUAGUAAAGAAGGUAUGUAAGGGCCUUGUUUCCUGCUUGGCUAAAUAUUGGUGGAGCAGCUCCAUGGACUGUAAUUCCAUGCAUUGGAAGGCCUGGGAUGCUGUGGCAACACCAAAAGAGAAGAGUGACAUUGGAUUCUGGGAUCUUGAGUUGUUUAACAUAGCUCUUCUCAGCAAACAUGGAUGGCGACUGAUGACAAAUCCAAACUCCCUUUGCGCCCGAGUUCUCAAAGAUAGAUAUUUCCCAUCUUGUGAUUUUAUGCAAGCUACAACCCAUGCUUCUCCUCGGCAACGCGGCGUGCUAUUAUCGCUGGGAGAGAUGCUCUGCAAGUCGGCCUUAUCAAGCGCAUAGGAGAUGGCGGGAUGGUUUCUAUCUGGGAUGACAAGUGGAUCCCCGACACCAUCUCUAUGUCUCCGACAGUUAGAAGUGGUAAUGCAUAGUUGCACACCAUUUCAAAUCUUAUUGAUACUGGUAAUCAGUCUUGGAAAUCAGAUGUGAUUCGUCAAAACUUCAUCACCCCGAUGUGGAUGCUAUUUUUAAUAUCCCUCUGAGGCGAGGUGGGUGCGAUGAUGUGUUUGCGUGGGCUCUCGAACGAUCAGGCCGUUAUACUGUAAGAUCAGCGUAUCGUGCUCUAGUGAAUCAUAACGAGCAACAUGCUCUAGAGGAAGGGACGAACACCGAAACUUCAUCGACAGAUGAACAACUAUGGUCCCGGUUAUGGAAGCUCAGGGUUUUGCCAAGGGUGAGAGUAUUCUGGUGGCGGGUCUUGCAUGGGAUUCUUUCGGUCGAAUCAACUCUCAAGUUCCAUCACAUUGCUACCAUUGGCACUUGCAAACUAUGCCUUCAUGCGGAGGAAGACAUGAAGCAUGCCUUAUUGGAUUGCACCCAUGCCCGGAGUUUCUGGAAUGCAGCCCCGGACUAGCUUGAUAUCAAGCGAGCGGAGUUGCACCCGCUCAGCUGGUCUCGCGAUAUCAUAUGCGAUCCUAUGUUCUCCGAUUCCGAGAGAGCAAAACUGGUAACUAUCAUGUGGGCGAUCUGGACCUCAAGGAACAAUGCUACACAUGAUAAGAGAGAGCUUGACCGUACUCAGUCCAUGAAGAAGACCCAAGAGGCUCUAGCUAUGCUCGAGCUUCCCAGCGACCAUGCCAAGAUCCUUCGGGCCACGGUUUGCGACCACCGGACUUGGGGUUUGAUUAAGAUCAACACUGAUAGUAGUGUUGCAAUGGAAGCUAGAAGGGGUGGAGCAGGAGGGGUCGCGAGAACCCGCUCAUCCUUCUUAGCUGCUUGGUGCAAACCUUACCCAGGAAUCACAGAUCCUCUCAUAGCCGAAGCUCUCGCUCUACACGAUGGUGUUCUAUUUGCAUAUCUUAGAUGCUAUGCUGAAGUGGUUUUCGAGUCUGACAAUUUGGAGAUUGUGAAUCUCUGGAACUCGCAUCACAACGAUUGUGCGGUGGCGGCGCCUAUCUUGUCUGAAAUUAGGGAGCAUGUUGUAAGUCUUUUGUAAUUCAACAUGUUGGUAGGUCGGCUAAUGUUUCUUCUCAUCUUUGUGCUAAGAAAGCCAACACUCUAGAUGUCACAGAAUGUUGGCUUGAUUCCACUUCAAGUCUUCUUGUAACCAGUCUCUCAGUUGAUUUUGCUGGAGCUGUUAGUGUUGAAUAAAGAGCUCCUAAUUUCCUCGCAAAAAAAGCAAUGAGGAGAUCCUUGGAUUCCCUUGCGUGCUCCUUUUUCUAAGGCCGACGCUAGGCGCCAGCGCGCCGUCCCAACUUUGGGUCGCCCGGCCCCUAGCCGUCAGAUGUGUUUCACGUGAGCCAUCCGAUCUCUAUCUUCCCGCACCAAUUCGUCUUCUACCUUCGUCCAAAUACAGAGCGGCAAAACGCGUUGACUUUGAGCCGCUAGCUGCUGCCCCUGGCUGCAGUAUAGGUUGCUUGCCAUCCCCGUCCCGCGACUCAUAGUGUACUACCUCCAGCAACCUUGCCAUGCUCGUCAGUGCACUUGUAGCACCAUGGCAGCCAUGAAAAUAAGCCUGUUGCAAAUUACAUCGCCGGUCAUAGCAAAAAAGAAGAAGUUUGCAGCAAAACAUCAUCAUUGUCGUUGUGGGUCGCAACUAAGACAUGAAUGUUGAAGAUUUUUCCAUUGCCGGAUGUAGCUUUUGUAGUUGCUGGUUGCAACUUUUCAUUGUAGUCCAUAGCUUCUGUCAUCUAUGGUUGAAACUUUUUUCAUCAUCGGUUGAAACUUUUUUCGCCGCCAGAUGAAGCUAUUUUCAUUGCCGGUUGUAACUUUUCUUUGUCAUCCACAGCUUCCGUCGUAUAUCAGGUGGGCGUCCUCAAUGACGGCAGCCGGUGGUCGCCCUCCACGAACAAGAGAGGGAGAGGGGGGGGGGAGGAGGUCGCUCGGGGGAGAGAAGCGAGCUCGCGUGUGGCCAGAGACUAGUGCGAGGGGAUAAGGAUGUGAGACGGGAUGCGGGCCGCCCGAUCUUGUCGCAUCAGACGACACGUGAUGGACCGGCCGAGCGUUUGGCCGGUCUGUCGUACGCAAACGUUUCCCAUAAACUCCAUUUUCAUAAAAUAUAUGCUGGUGGGCCGGCCCGAUACUGUAGCAUGGAUGGGACAGGUGCUUCCGUCUAAUUUAACACGAGAUAUAGCACGGAAACCCGCUGAAAACCCAUGGAAAUAGAACAUGCAUUGUAUCCAGCUGAACAAAACGGCCCAGUCCAACAAAACUUGCUCGCUCAACGAAACCAUACUAACAAAACUCUCCGUCGAGCCCUACUUCCACGCUGGACGCGCCGCCUUCUGCACGCAUGCGGUGAUGCAGGAGGGAGGACUGCCGCUCGCUAGCUGCCGGCGCCCGCAACGAGCCAGCGCAUCCCCGCGACCGUGAGAGCGAGUUCAUUCCCUUUCCCCAUUUUGAUCCAUUCUUGAUACUUUCUGUUGGGAUCUACUACUAGCUAGUUAAUGGUCGGGCCAUAUUGCUUUUUGUUUGGAGUAAAUCUUUUGUUGCCACUAGCACUAGGUAUAAUUUUGAAGGUACUAUUAGGAUUCAGGAAUGUGCAGUGUUGGUAUCCUCAGAUCAUGUUAAAUCAGUUCAAGUUGUUGAGAGUUGAGACCCAAUUGAAUAAAUGUUUGUCGACCAUCUCAAAUGCCACAUAUAUUAAUCAACUCAUGAUAUUGUGAUAACAUCAAGUGAGUAAUUUACAGAUCUGCUCUCAAAAUGUGUUCUGUCUCCUCUGAACAAGUUAUAUGGUCAUUCUUUGCUUCUGUCAUGUUCAUAUGACUGGAUUGCGGUUUAUAUAUAUUUCACUAGUUCAUACAACUGUGUGAUGAUCUGUACUUGUACUCUAGAAAAUAUUUCUGUCAAAUUUUGUUUAUGGCAUAUGCCCUACUGUGGGUUGAACUAUCUCAUGCAACAAUGUGAUAAUUUAUCACCGAGAAAAACUGUUUGUAAAUAUGUAUUUGUCCUCAUGCUCAGUAAAUCUUAAUUUUAUCUCCAUCAUGAUUUUGAAUAAUCUGACUAGUUUGCAUUUGUUUACUGAUGAAUCUGAAAUUUGUUGCUCUAAUGGACAAGUGGAUUUGUUUUCUGUUUUUUUUGCGCGUGUGUGUUUCAGUUCUGGUUUGCACUAGUGGAUUUGAUAGUGUGUUCUAGGUUAUUUAAUUGCCAUCAGCUGGUAGAUGAAUGCCAUACCUAAGUACUCCCUCUGUUCCAAGAUACGACAAGUAUUUUGGAACGGAGGGAGUACUAUUCAGUCUUAACAAACGGGGUUUAAUAUUUCAACUGUGUUGCAUAACCAACAAAUUGUUGCAUGCGUAAUAUUUUAGUUGUGAUGCUUGUCUAUUUCUGUAGCCAUUUUGAUGUGGAGCAUCCUAUGGUCAUCCCCAUGGACCUACCAUCGUCUCACGAAGUGCCAAGAGGACCAAUGACACGAGCACGAGCUAGAGCUCUCGAGAACGAGGUGACAUCUCUCCUUAGUGAUAUUCCAUACGACCCACUCGGGACAUGGCUACUACCUAAGUCUGGAAUGUUGUGCAUGAUCAGGUACCAAGAAGGCCCUCUCGAAGAUGCACGUGAAGACGAACAAGUCCCCAAGUUCAUGGAUGAAGAGCAACUACGGAAGGUGUUGGGGAACGUUGCAUGGAAAACAAAAAAAUUCUACGCACACGCAAGAUCUAUCUAGGAGAUGCAUAGCAACGAGAGGGGGAAAGCAUCUACAUACCCUUGUAGAUGGCUAAGUGGAAGCGUAUAUAACGCGGUUGAUGUAGUCGUACUCUCCGCGAUCCGAUCACGAUCCAACCGAUCUAGUACCGAAUGGACGACACCUCCGAGUUUAGCACACGUGUGGCUCGAUGACAUCUCCUCCUUCUUGAUCCAGCAAGCGGGAGAGGAAAAGUAAAUGGGAUGGCAACCAACACAACGGCGUGGUGGUGAUGGGGGUGGUGGAGCACCGACAGCGCUUCGCUAAGUGUCGCCAGGACAAGGCGGUGGAACUACGGAGUAACGAGAGAGAGAGAGGGGGGCGCCAAGGGCUUUGUGUGUGUAGGAUCGAAAGUAUGUCUAGAGGGGGGGGGUGAUUAGACUACUUGACCAAAUAAAAACUUAACCUUUUCCCAGUUUUAGUUCUUGGCAGAUUUUAGCAACUUAGCACAAGUCAAGCAAUCACAAUACAAUUCAGGCAAGCAUGCAAAGAGUAUAUGAGUAGCGGAAAGUAAAGCAUGCAACUUGCAAGAAAGUAAAUGGGAGGAGUUUGGAGGGAGCAAACGCAAUGUUGACAUGGAGAUUUUUGGCGUGGUUCCGAUAGGUGGUGCUAUCGUACAUCCACGUUGAUGGAGACUUCAACCCAUGAAGGGUAACGGUUGCGAGAGUCCAUGGAGGGCUCCACCCAUGAAGGGUCCAUGAAGAAGCAACCUUGUCUAUCCCACCAUGGCCAUCGCCCAUGAAGGACUUGCCUCACUUGGGUAGAUCUUAACGAAGUAGGCGAUCUCCUUGCCCUUACAAACUCCUUGGUUCAACUCCACAAUUGACGGAGGCUCCCAAGUGACACCUAACCAAUCUAGGAGACACCACUCUCGAAAAGGUAAUAGAUGGUGUGUUGAUGAUGACCUCCUUGCUCUUGUGCUUCAAAUGAUAGUCUCCCCAACACUCAACUCUCUCUCACAGAUUUUGCUAUGGUGGAAAGAUGGUUUGAGUGGAAAGCAACUUGGGGAAGGCUAGAGAUCAAGAUUCUUGUGGUUGGAAUGGAAUGUCUUGGUAUUAACACAUGAGUAGGUGGUUCUCUCUCAGAAAAGUGGAAGUGUAGGCACGUUCUGAUGGCUCUCUCCAUGAAUGAAGAAUGGGUGGAGGGGUAUAUAUAGCCUACACACAAAAUCUAACAGUUACACACAGAUUCCCAAACUCAGUGAGACCGAAUGGUAAAACUCGGUCAGACCGAUUCAUGUCAAAAUAUGAAUGUUAGGCUUUUCGAUGGGACUGAUGCAAUCAACUCGGUGGGACCGAUGUGCUAGGGUUAGGGUAUAACGUAAUGUCGGUGUGACCGAUCACAUGAACUCAGUGGGACCGAUUUCAGUAAUAGGCACAUAGAGAGUUGGUCAGGCAAACUCAGUGGGACCGAUUCGCUCACUUCGGUGAGACCGAAGUGUUACGAAAAGGAAACAGUGAAUUCGCAUUGCAGACUCGGUGGGACCGAUUCGCUCAUUUCGGUGGGACCGAAAUGUUACGAAAAGGAAAUAGGGAGUUUGCAAUCCCAUCUCGGCGAGACCAAGAUCCCUAUCGGUGAAAUGGAAGUGAAUAGGGUUUGUGGCAGUGGCUAUGUCAAAUGAACUAGGUGGCACCGGAUAGAUCAAAUUGGUGGGGCCGAGUUUGACUUUUAGGUUUAGGACAUAUGUGGAAAUGAGAUAGUGGCUGAGGGUUUUGGAGCAUAUCACUAAGCAUUUUGAGCAAGUAAGCCAUUAAGCAACACCUCAUCCCCUUUUAAUAGUGUUGGCUUUCCUAUGGACUCAAUGUGAUCUUGGAUCACUUAAAUAAAAAUGUAGAGUCUUGAGCUUGUUGCUAAUAUGUGUCCUUAACAUUUUGAGGGGUCCACAUCUCUAGUCCAUGCCAUGCCAAUCAUUGAACUUUCUGAAAUGAUCAUCUUGAAAGAGCAUUAAUUUAAUGAGCUAUAUGUUGUUAAGAAUUACCAAAACCACCCAGGGAUUAGUUGCACUUUCAAUCUCCCCCUUUUUGGUAAUUGAUGACAACAUAUAGAUCAAAGCUUUGAUAAAUGAUAAUAAGAAUGAAAUACAUCAUUGCUUUGAGAAGUACGUGACAAGCAAGAGCUCCCCCUAAAUUUGUGCAUUAUUUAAAUUUACUUUUGAAUGCAAAUUCACAAACAAUUAGGAUCAUGGGUUACUCUUGCAUGACACAUACAUCUUGGUGGAGCGCUCAACAUGAUAAAAAUUAGGAACAAACACUCAUCACCAAGGCAAAGUGAAUGAUCAUACAUAAAGAAUAGAUAAUGUCAUCAUCCAAGCACAAGCAUUAAGCAUGAUAUGAUCAAACACAUGACCACACAAAGUAUCUCACACACAUAAGCAUAAAGUAUCUCAACCAAGCAAGCAAAGCAAAUAAGUAGCAAAAAGAAGCAAAGCUCUCUCUCUCCGAAGCCUAUGAUCUAUACACUUUCUCCCCCUUUGGCAACAAGUUACCAAAAAGCUUGAAAAUGCAUAGUGGUAUGCGAUUCUCUAGGCUUAAUCUUCAGGAGGUGGUGUUGAGAGGACUCCAAGGAUGAAAGCAUCGAUAGAACUUGAUGGAGCUGAUGGAGUUGCCACUCGAGGGGCAACUGGAGUUGUGGCUGCAGGUGCUGAUGCUGUAGCUCUAGUAUCUAGCACUAACACUGCUGUAGACCUAUGUUCCCUAGGCACUCUCUAGAACACUUCUGUAGUUGCUUUCCCCUUCAUCUCUUCUAAUUCUUCUUGGAGCUACUCAACUACUGUUCGAAUUUCAGUCACCUUCAAGUCAAGAUCAUAUAAUUUUGUUUCAAUGAUCCUCUCCAAGCUCUCCUGGUUCUGAGUCAGGGUGUCCAGUCCUUUCUCAGUUCUCAAGGUUGCUUGAAUAAGGUAUCCAAGCUGGUCUUGCUUUGACUUGAGGAACACUUGUGAAGCUUCUUCAGCACUUGGCAUCUUGGCUGCCUUCUCAGCUUGAGCCUUCUGCCUCUUCUCUUGAGCCUCUAGAGAUGUUGGAUCUUCAGGAGUCAUGGCAACAGUGUUGUCCUCAAAAUCAGGCUUCAAAGGCAGAUGCUCUUUGUCCAACAGAUAUACUCCUUUGGGCAUCUUGGAUUUAAUCAGCAUUGUAUGUGUGGAGCAUACCCACAUGACCUAUUCUAGUCAGCAGCUGUUCUCUUGAUUGUCUCAACAAUCAAACUCAUGACCUUGAAUUUCUGUGGCAAAUCAAAAAGCUGGAGCAAGUUGAUGGAGUGGCCUCUAAUCAUCCUGUGAUCUCCUGAUUUGGGAAACAAAGUGUGCCUCAAUAUAGUGUUCAUAGUGGCCAAUCCAGACAUGAAGAAAUUAAUACACUGAGCCUAGCUUUUGAGUUUCCAAGGCCUUGUCAGGUAUGUCCUUAUACAUAUUUGCCAUGGAGUUGUGAUCUUUAUUCUUCUCAGCAUAGACAUCAAUGUCUUUCUCUCCUUCUUUGGGGGCUUUUAUGAGCUUGGCCCACUCAUCAAUAGUAGACUGGUACCUUGUACCUUCAGUCAUCCACACAAUCUUCCCAUCAGGAUAGAAAUGAGUUGUAGAGUAAAACUGCAUAAUGAGCUCAUCAUUCCAUUUGGUCAACUUUUGACCCACAAACUUGUCAACACCAUUGAGCUUGAAGCUCUCAUGCACUCCUGGAAAGUGAUCUUCAUUCUCAUCAAUAUACUCCCAAUCAACCCACUUCAUAUCACUGACAAUGGGCUUCUUGUCAAGCAACACUGUCUCGUAGAAAUCUUGCUGUUCUUUGGUGUGGAAUCUAUAGUCCACAGCUGUCCUUCUCCUCACUGCAUAUGGAUCAGCUUGUCUCCACAAUCUGAGGCCUGCAUCUUUUCUUUCUUUCAUAUUCUCAGCCACUGGAUGAUUGUCAUCAUGGUCUGGAAUUUUUGGCUUGAGUUUCCUAAGCACAUGGGCUUCAUCAUCUUCUUCUUCAACCUCAGGCACUGGGGCCUUGUUCUUCUCUACAGCAGGAAUGUUCCUGGUUCUUCUCUUGGGUGCAGUCAUUGGAGGCUUGAGUUGGAGCUUUGGGGGCUGUCUUGGGCUUUGAAGGAGCAGCCCCAGACUUGAUGGCAUCCCCCAUCAGCUUUUGUGACUUGGGAGGAGGUGCAACAUCCUCUUCUUCCUCCUCACUUGCAGAAUCUCUCCUCAUAGAUGGAUUUCCAAGCACUCUUGCAACUGUUUUCCUCACUCUUUCUUUUCUCUUCUUGCCAUCUCCAUCCUCUCUGGCUUCUAGAGUGAAUUCCAUGGUCUCUUGAGUUGAUGCCUUGGCCUUUGACAUAGGCACUCUCCUGGCAGGUGCUUUCUUAUGCUGACCUGGCUUGGUAGAAGCAGCAGCAGCAUACUCUUUCUUGAGCACCUUCUUGUUUGAGUUGACUUCUUCAAUCUCAAAGUCCUCAUCCUCAGAGUCUGAAGUUUUCUUCUUUCUCUGCCUAGUUUGAGCCUUAGGCAGAUUGCUUGGUGUGCUCCUGCUACCUUCAUCAUAGCUGCCAGAGGGACUAGUGCCCUCACUCAAGUCCAUCUGCUCCUCUGACUUGUUUUGGCUAUCACUCUGAUCAGACAUACUGCACUGCAAACUGAGAGCUGACCCAAUGAAUAGUUAUAGAUGACAUAGAGUAGAUGAGCAUCACAAAGUGUAGAGUUUUUGCAAAAAGAAUGAGUCAAAAAAUUAGUUUUAGUUUUCUAUAGGAAGCAUUUCGGAGCUACCGAUUUGUAAAACUUGGUGACACCAAAGCAACUUUGGAGUCUAAACUAGUAGAAUCAGUCAGACCGAGACACAGUUGGUGACUCCGAGUUUGCUAGGGUUUCACAAAGUCCUGACCUCGGUCACACCGAUUUGCAAUUUUUGGUCAGACCAAAAAUCACAUGUGCAAUGGCCUAAGACGAAUCGGUGAGACCAAUUUCUACAAUUCGGUCGGUCCGAGAUGAGUCCGGCGAAAACCUAACCCUAAAUUUUCAAAUCAAAACUAAUCUAAAGGAUGUUUUCUGUGGAUAGAUCGAUCUCAUACUUGGAAAGAAACAUGGCAUUGCCUUUGUGCUAAGAAUCGGAGUUAAAAGAAUGCACAAAGUGUCGAACUCAUACCCUAACUUGGCGAUGAGCUUGCUAUGGCGGGGUGAAGAUUUCCGUUGGCGACGGCGGAGAUCGGCGGCAGAGACCAGCGGCGAUGAGAGGACGAUCCAGAGACCCGAGUCGGCAGAGCAGGACACGCGCGGGCGCAGAGGUUUUCGAGGAAUUUCACAAAUUUGACCCUUUGGUAUAUAUAUCCAGGCACUGUCGGUGUGACCGAGUGGAACAACUCAGUGGCACCGAGAUGCAGAAUCGCAAGUGAUUGCUGCAACUCAGUGAGACCAAAAAGUUCUAAUCGGUUGCACCGAGAUUGAAAACUAGAUCAACCCAGUGAACUCGGUGUGACCGAAAUGGAUGAAUCGAUCAGACCGAAAUGCACACAGAGGUUUUGGAAGUUUAAGUCUAUGACUGUCGGAUAUCGGGUUCCGGCAAAACCCUUAAGGUUCGAACUCUGGGGUGCGCACGAAGAUCUUCUCCCUACCGAUCCAUGCCCCAAAACCUCGCCGUGAAUCUAAGCUAGCACGAUGAACAACACACGGGACACGAGGUUUAUACUGGUUCGGGCCACCGUUGUGGUGUAAUACCCUAAUCCAGUGUGUGGUGUGGUGGAUUGCCUCUGGGGCUGAUGAUGAACAAUACAGAGGAAGAACAGCCUCGCGAGGGGUGUUCUUGAGCUGGUGCGGUGUUCUACCAGGGAAGGAUUUGAUAAUCUCUACUGUGGUGGCUAUCUCUAUUUAUAGAGGCCCUGGUCCUCUUCCCAAAUAUUGAGCGGGAAGGGAGCCAACAACGACCAUUUUGAAGGGGGACAGCUAGUACAAGCUAUCCUGACUAAAGGUGGUCUUCGACUACCAAAGGCACUGGCAAUGACGCCAUCUUGGGCUCCAUGGUGACCUCCAUCCUGCCGCUCUGCUGGUCUUGGUCUCGUUGCACCGAUAUGGAAACCUUUGCCUGAUACCUUGGUACUCCACGCCUGCGCUUGCCCCCUUUGCACCAAAGAGGAAACAAGGACACUGCGCAGGCUGGCACCCGCCUGGUCUCGAUCGUCACGGCUUGCGUCACGAGCACCUCGCGAGGUACUCCUUGCCUUGAUCUCUCCGCCUCCUCACGAGCCUGCCUGGUGAGGCCACCCCUAAGGAAGCCUUGCGUCACCCGCCCCGCGAGGCUUGGCCCCUCGCGAGGGUCUUGAACUUGGGUUCAUGAAGACGGGCCGUACUGGGCCACUGCCGAGCAACGCCUCAGGCUGCAGGCAGGCAAGUCUGGGGACCCCCAUUCCCAGAACACCGACAGUAGCCCCGGGCCCAAGGCGUGCUUGGACUUGGCUUAGCAGCGAAGCCAAAGGGAAAGUGCGGAGCGCCACGGGCCCCAACAGCCUACGACCUUGGUCGCCGCGUGGUGGUUGAUUAGACGUGGGCAUCUCCGCUUCCCCAUGCUGACUCAAUAUCCGCCUGGCUAGGCGGCCAUGAAGCUUUACACAGUUAUUUCCCCUUCGCUGCCCGCGUGCUUCCUGUUCCCCUCUCUUCCUCGAACCUCUGUUUCCGCUUCCAAUCUAACUUGAGCCCUGCCCCCUCCGUCGCCAUGGCGCUAACCAACAAAGGGAAGGGGAAGAAGCCCGGGUCCUCAUCCAGCUUGCCUCCGGCAAUCGAGCCCGCCGUCAGCCGGUCGCUGGUGCUUAAUCUGGAAGCCUUGGAGAAGGUCCGCUCCGCCCUCGCCUCCAGCUUCAAUGAGUGUAGAAAGACGACGGCUUGGCCGGCGUCCCAUGCCUCCAUCGACAGGAUUGUCACGGAGGUUUGAUUCUUCGCCGACGCCCUAUGGGCUGGUCUGGUUCCUCCUUUCUCCACCUUUUUUAAUGCGGUGCUUUCCCACUAUCAGAUCCACAUGAUGCAUCUUGAUCCUCAAUCCGUUACCCUCCUUGCCGUCUUCACCUUUGUCUGCGAAGCCAUGGUGGGCAUCGCUCCUUCCAUUGCCCUCUUGCGCCAUUUCUUCUCCUUGCGCCUGUUCGACCCAUUGCAAUGCUCGGGGUGCGUGAGCUUCUAGGUCGUGCCAGAGAUGGCCGCCUUGGGGAUUGAUUUUAGCCUUCCACCUUCCACGAGCGGGUUUCAGAUGCGGUGGCUGUAUGUGGAUGUCGGAGUGCCCAGCCUCCUGUUCUCGCAUCCGACAUUGCUCGCUAUCCCCAAUCCGGGCUGGGGUCACGAGAGGCUCGUGAGCCCCCGGCUUUCCUUCGUAUGGCACCGACUGGGGAGGUUGAGAGCGCUCGGCGUGACUGCGCCCCGGGUAGUGAAGGAGUUCCUCCAGUGUCGCGUUGCUCCUCUCCAAUGCCACUCCCGACCGAUGUGGGCCCUGACUGGACAUCAGGACCGCAUGAGGCUCUAGGAGGCGGAGCUUGCGCCUGAAACGCUGAAGAAGGUGCUGGAGGUCUUGACUGGUGACCCCUGCGGGGAGAUAUCCGGCACGGGGGCAGCCUCCUGUAUCUUUGCUCGGGCGGGGCCAAGUUCGCGAGGCUUAUGCCUCACUUCGACGAAUGGGGGUUGCACCCGGCCGGCCUCGUGGGACCUCGCGAGAAUCCCGUCGCCAUGGCUCCCUUCCCCGUCGCCAACACGAUCUUGCCUCAGGAGGGGAUGCAGGGAGGCAAGCAUCGCUAGAGGCUGGAGGCUCUGUUGUCGAGAUGCCAAUGUCGCAUGGGGCCCCCGAGGCAUCGUCCUCCGGAGCUUGUGAAGCCCGCCCUAAGGCGGUUUUUGAUGAGGGGGCGCAACCUGCGGCUCUCGAGGCCGGAGUCCCCGAGGCCUCGACAGGCCACCAAGAAGCGGUGCCUGACCGCUCCUCUCAGCUUGGCGCCCCUGAGGCAGGCUGUCUGGGCGCUUCUUCGUUUGUGCCGUGCACCGGCCCUCAUGUUGAGAGCUUGGGUCGAUUCCGCAUAGACUUCGACGCCCUCCGCAAGAGGAAGGAGUCUUCGAGUGGCAGCGAGCGCCCCUGCCAUCCGUUGAAGCAUAGGAAGUACUUCGCCAUAGAUGAGUAAGUACGUCAUUCUUGUAAUUCCCCGAUCGCUGGUCCUUUUCCUGACUGUGGCCCUUCAGGAUCCCUCCUGCCAAGCUUGCGGAGUUUGCCAAGAAGCAACUUCCUCCGGCCUCGCCUCCAUCGUUGGCAUUGAGGAUCCCGAGCCUGCGUGCUGCCCCUAACGCGAGUUCGGCCGGAGAAGUAAGUCGACCCGCAUGGUGCCUCGAGCCUGUGCCCUCGCCGCAUUUCCUUCGCGACCUCGCCCGAGGUGCGACCAGCCUGCCCCGGGCUCCUCCUCUGAUCAUGGACAGCAAAUGGUUGAAGUCGGUCCUUGGCUCUUCUUCUGGGGAUGGAUCAGUGUCGGCCUGGGCCCCUUGCGGAGCCCGCCCAACGAUUGUGGGGGCGCUAGCCCCCAGCCCCCUGCCAAGAGGGGGCGAACCGCUUUAGGGCCCUCCGCCAACGCCGGUGGCAGAGGACGACAUCGAUGACGUGCUCAAUCGAGCGCGGGAGCGCAGCGUCAUCCGCCAAGAGUUCCUCCGGAAGGCGAUGGACGCGAUGGGCCAGCUUGGUGGAGAGCUCGUGGACGUGGAUGCGUGUCUUGAAGCCGAGGGCCUGCGGCUGAUUGAGGAGCGGCGCAAGCUGAAGGUGGCGGUCAACCUUGCGCAUCAUCAACACGAGCUUGACAAUGCGAAGGCCGAAGCAUCCCUCGCGGCCUCGCGAAAGGCCUGCUCCCGAGCUAUUGAGGAGGCCCGGGAAGUACACCAACGACGCAAGAUCACGGAGAAGAGCUCCAAGCCUGGAGCGCUUCCCUGGAGCAGCAAGUGGAGAUGGGCCAGGCUGCCCUUGCAUCGCUGAAGGGGACGCCCGUCAAGGAGGAGGAGCUCCGGAGGCGUGAAGAAGCGCUGACGCUGGAGGCCGCCGAGCGCAACCUCGACCUUGAGCAGUUGGAGACGAGGGAGCGCUAGGUUACCCAGGCGGAGGACGAUGUUGGCACGCGGGAGGCUUGAAUCCAAGAAGAGGUCGACCGCCGCGUGGCGGAAGUUUGCGUGGGUCUUGUGCACGAGUAUGAUGAGAGGCUAGAGCUGAUUGAAGCCGAGGCCGCGGGCAGGACUGCCGCCCUCUGGUCCAAGCUGACCAAAGCAACGCAGCGCGCGGAGGCCACCGCAGCCGCCCUGGUCUCGGUGCAGGCCGAGUUGGCCUCCUUCUGUGCCGAGCUGCUUCCUCUUCAAUGGAGGGUCGAUGACGCCGAGUCCAUUGCGCGGCAGAACAGAGAAGAGAUUCGCUAGCGGCAAACGCUGGAGCACAUCAUGGCCCCAUGCUCCAAGCGCUCAGAGACAGGGCCAACACGGCCCUAGGCAAUAUCUGCGACGCGAACGCUCCGCAUCCCCAUGUGACCAACUAUGCUGGUCAUCUCCAGUUCUUCACUGACGUGGUGACACAUCUGGAUAACCACUCUGAGAGAGCUCGCCAGCUUGUCGAAGAGAGGAGCCGCAGCUUGCUCGGGCGUGCAUUCUCCCAUGUCUUUAGCCAUCUUCAGGAUAGAGAUCCCCACUUCUACUUCGACGCUGUCAUCGCUCCGGUGCCCGUGGCCAUUCGAGGUGACCUGGCGCGGUGGGUGGAGGACAACGUGGAUGCACUUGUCAGGGCCUUCAAUUUUGAUGAUGAUGGGGUGAUAGUUGCUGCGGAUGAAGGUGAUGUGGUGAAUGACGGCGAAGAUGGCGCUGAUGGCGGCAAUGGCGAUGCCAGUGACAGUGACAACGACGCUAGUGAUGCCUCCGGAGACGACCAAGAGGACGCGGUGAGCAAUAUGUCUGAGUGACCCUAUGUCCCCCUACUGUUUAUCUUGCACACAAAAAGCUUGGGCCCGGCCCUAAAGAUUGUAAGAGCAUUUUGGGAGGGGAAGCCCCUCAUGUAAAAGAUUGUUGUCCGCACGCUUUCUGGGGGUGACGCUAAAUGUGCGCCUGCGUGGCGUUACCGGCCCUACGAUGAGCUAGUUGCUGUGAUUUACCUUUAGCCCGGGCGAGCGUUGAGUAGGCUCGUGAGGCUGUGAUUCUCCGGGGGUCCUCUGGGGGACCUGCUGACCGAGUGGUGAGAGCCUCGCGAGAGCGAGUGCUAGCCUGUCACGACCGGUUUUCCGGGUAUAAAUUUCCAGAAAAGACCGUCGUGCUCAUCAGCCCCAGGAUUACUGUUAGCUGAUGAGGCUCCAACUUGAUACAGAAAUUCCAAGAAAAAUACAUAAUAUGCAGUACAAGACCAUUCAAGCCUGUGAGUACAACAAAUGGUUUCUAGUGGUUGAUGGCGGAAGCGGUUUGUGGAUCAUCAGUGUCUAUGGGACUCCAAUUCCCACAGGAACAGUUGACCAGGUUAACUCCUAUCUCCGCGAGGCUGCUAUUUCCAUUGCUUAGGUUCCGGGGCUGUCAUCGCGUCGCUCCUCUCCGUGCAAGAAAAUCUGGCCAAGACAAUAGCCAGGGACAAGCCAGUGAGUACUUUGAAUGUACUCGCAAACAUUAUGAACACAGGUAUAAUAUAACAAUGAUGUGCUGAAAAUAUUUUAUGCUCAUGACGUCAGUCACAAAAGAUAAAUAAAACUCCGAUACGUGCAAGCAAGUUAUUUAUAAAAAUGCAAUAACAUAGUAGUAUUAAAAAUUAUGAAAAUAAAUAACAAGCAAUGCCACAGUCGGGCGUCUUAGCGACACCACAUAAAGGGCUUUAAAAGAAAUGCCACAGUUGGGCAUCUGAGCGACACCACAUAAAGGGCUUUUAAAAGAAAUGCCACAGUCGGGCGUCUGAGCGACACCACNNNNNNNNNNNNNNNNNNNNNNNNNNNNNNNNNNNNNNNNNNNNNNNNNNNNNNNNNNNNNNNNNNNNNNNNNNNNNNNNNNNNNNNNNNNNNNNNNNNNNNNNNNNNNNNNNNNNNNNNNNNNNNNNNNNNNNNNNNNNNNNNNNNNNNNNNNNNNNNNNNNNNNNNNNNNNNNNNNNNNNNNNNNNNNNNNNNNNNNNNNNNNNNNNNNNNNNNNNNNNNNNNNNNNNNNNNNNNUUAAAAGAAAUGCCAAUAUCGGCCGUCUGAGCGACACCACAUAAAGGGCUUUAAAAGAAAUGCCACAGUCGGGCGUCUGAGCGACACCACAUAAAGGGCUUUAAAAGAAAUGCCACAGUCGGGCGUCUGAGCGACACCACGUAAAGGGCUUUAAAAGAACAAUCAUAGUGAAUAUCCCGGAGGUAGAACCAUCCCAGAGAUACUUGAUGAUAACAAUAAUAUCACGGGUUAGUCAACAAUAAUAAUAAUCAUAAUUAUCACAAGUCACAAGUAGUAAUUCCCGUUCUGGUUUAACAGUUUCACCUCCGAAGACCGACACUAAGACCGACACUUGACCCAUCCCAGACUGUAAUCCUUAACCAUGGACACGGCUAUUCGAAUAGGUUUAAUCUCUGCAGAGGGUGUACUCUUUACCCACGAGUAACGGAUUUCUUUAGUCCAUGGGGACUAAUUCCGUCUACGGUCUUUUUGUUGAAAACACACCUAACUUGCACACACCAGCUUAACUCACACGUGUCUGGAAUCACCCAUGACACCUGUUAAGCAAACUCUAAGUGGGGAGGCUACAACCUCGCGUAGCAUGGGAUCAAAUUUAUAUCGCGCGCUCUAAGGGGUGCCCCCCUCUCGGUCCCAACCGGAAACACCCAUGCCCCCGGACCAGGUGGCCUGCCUACCAGCUACAACCGGUAUCUUCCACCCUGGCCUCUCUGUAUGUUGUGUGCUAGAAAGAGGUUGACAACUUACUGAACCGUACUCUACUUGCUGUAGAGACGAGUGGUAGUACGAAACAAGUAUGGGGGUUACUGGCACAAGACUCGAUCUAUGGUCGACUCAGGAGGUUUAAGUAUUCCCCGCAUGAUUAGCAUAACGAAUAUAUUUCAACCAACAGAGUCACCACUCAUAUCACCUUACCAUGCCAUACCAGACAUAACCGUCCCGACGGAGACCCGCAAUAAACUCAUGCCUACCCAAGGUAGAGGUUUUCCCGGGUUCCUGCCGUUAUGCAUGCAAGGCACAUGAGGGUGAUUAUCAUCACAAGUGUGUUCAUUUCCAACAGCAUGGAAAUCAAUAACAUGCACCCAUGCAUAUGAUCAUAUCACAUGAAAUAACAAGUUUCUCCAAAGUGAGGUGAUGUUAUGAACGUGUCAUCGAACACACAAAAAUAUUAUGCCAGGGUUCAGAAUGCUUGCCUUCAAGGUGUGGAGAGGUGGGGGGUGCUUUCCAAAACUUUUGAAAGUUUUCUUCUCUCUCUCCAAAAUCCUAUUUUAGAUAAAUUGGAAUUAACACACAUUUUCAAAACAGCACAAAAAAGUUGUCUGAAUUUUUUUGAAAUAACUAUGAAAAUAAACUAGACAAUAUUUGGGAAGCAACAGAAAAAAAAUCAAGUCAUUUGGGUUUAUAUUUAAAAAGUUAUAGCCAGUCAAAGUUCUGGUCAAAAUCUGUUUUUAAAAUAAAAAAUAGAAAAGAAAACGUUUCAGACAGGAAUACGUUUUCGGAGCGGAGGAAACAUACUUUGUGGUUUCACGUCUUCACUUAAGUCACGUGGUGGCGGGGCUGGGUCACUGACAGUGGGUCUAGGGGGCCCACUAGUCAGGUUUGACCAGUCGCCCCCCGCCUCCUUCUUCCUCUGGCCGAACAGAGGUGAGGCUCCGGCGAUCAAUGCCGGCGAAUGGUGGCUUCUCGCGGGCUCCGGAGGGUCGGGAUGGAUCCGCCACCCCGGGGCGGUCUUCCCGGUGGUCGCUAGGGUGGUGGGGGCGAAGGGAGUCGCCGGAGGUGAGCCCCGCGGCGGAGGAAGCUUCGGGUGGGUUUGGGGCUCUGGGAUGCCGUGGCUCCCGACCGUGUUUGAGAUGCUGGGCAGCUCCGCAGGGUCAAGGGGAGUCGAGCGGUGGUGUUGGAAGGGUGGGGGAGUCUCUGCUGACGAUGCACGGCACCGGGGCGCAACGGCGGCCGAGCUGGCCGGAGACGAGGAAGAUGGCCUCCCGUCGUCGAUUGCGGGUUGUAGGAGUACCAGUGGGAUGGUCUGAGGCUGCCUGAAGGCUUGGAUGAGCUCGGGGCCCCCCUUAUAUAGCGUAGCCAUGGCGGUUCCGCGGCCGUGGAUAAGGUUGCCGGCGAACCGCCGCUCUGUAGCGGUCAGGGCGACGUGGUGGAGGCUAGCGGGGUCGGGAGGGCGAGCGGAUGAGGAUGGACUACUCACGAGGGCAGCUGGCGAGCAGAGGAGGCUCGGGCGGCACCGUCCACGGCAGGGGUUGCUGUGGCCGCCCGCUAGCCGCCGUGGCCGACCUGACGACGGAGGUGUGGAGCUCCAGGGGCAGCUCUGUGACGCGGGAGGGGUCGGGGGCGUCUACUGGGAGAGGGGAAUGGCCAGAACGAGCGCGGGGCGUCGGCAGUGGGACGCGGCGGCUCGGUGCGCGCGCGUGCAAAACGUGCGCUCUAGGCGCGCCCAGAGCAUGCACGCCAAGCGUUCGGCGAAAUGCCAGAGCAUGCUAGGCGGCUAGGGUGGAGCUAGGGAUUAGCAGGUCUAGGCUAGGGUCCCCUAGGAGAUUAGUGGACAUGUUGGUUUGCCCAUAGGUGCAAGGUCACAAUGCAAAGACAAAAUCAUGUCAAAACUGGCCAUGCACACCAGGUGUUUGACAAAAUGCUAAUGGCAUCUAGCCAACUCUUGGGGUGGCCCAAAUCUUCAGAUCAAAGUCUCUUUAGAAGCAUGAGAUGGUGGUAAGGUUAGUUGGCCAAAUUUAGAAACUUGUUAGUGCAAAACUUUGAGAAAACCAAAUCUGGUCAGAAAGAAAAGUAUAUGGUUUCAUGGACUAAAACUGCUCCAAUGGGUUCACUCUCUUGGAAUUAGGGGUUUGGUAAGGUGCACUACAAGCAGGAGAAAGCUCAUGGGUAAAGGAGCAAGUUAGAAGAUGGUUGCAGUACAAAUCAUCAAGUUAGACCAGAAUGAAAAAGAGGAUGAUUCACUCAAAUUUUUCAAAGAACAUAAAUGGGUUUUUGCACAAAGUGGAAUAAUAUGCUCCUACUGACCUCCCCUAAUUUUGGUAGAAGUUUUAAAGAAAUAUUUAAAUAGGUUGUAGUGUAAAAUUGCCCACUGGACCAGAUUUGAAAACUUGGUGUAGAACUCAAAAUAUCCAAUGCAUGAAAUAUCUUUUUGCAUAAAAGUGAUUUAAAAGCAUCACAUGACAUCUCAAAAUUUUGGUGGGAUUUUUAAAUAAAUUUAUCAAAGUGUUGCAGUGCAAAUGGAACCCUGAAAUUUAUGAAAAAACAAUUUAGAGAAAUAAAGCUCGGGGAAAAUAAUAAUUAUUAUAUAGAUAAUCCAACUGAUAAAAGAAUUGUUUUUCCUAAGAGGGAAAAUAGGUCCAAUAAUGACUGAAAAGUUUUCACUUGGGGUCAAAACUUCAUAAUAAUAAAGAAAAGAAUGGUUCUGAAAUCAGGAGAAAACCCCAAAACUAAAAGUUUUAGUUCCCUGGCAAAAUUUUAAUUAAUAAAACAAGGUUAAAAUUUUUGGGGUGUCACAACACUACCCCCCUUAAGAAAAAAUCUCGUCCUCGAGAUUUGCUAAGAGUUGUAAAAUAAAAAUACUUUUACUUGGUCAAAAGAUCAUUUUACACAGGCGGUAAAAAGAGGCUACAGUGAGAGGGCAAUAAGUGGUGAGUAACUACAGUGUGGUACUGGCGAUGUGUGGAAAAAUCAAUGCUUAUGAAAACGAGCGAUUUCUACGCUGGACGCCGUGAAUUUAGAAUAAAUUCAAAAUUUAACAACACGCUGGUCGUACUUGAGAGCACAGUGCUCUCUCUGGCUGACAGGUGGGACCGAGGCCCAUUGUCAGUCUCUCCUGGUCGGGCCUCAGUGAUCUGCCGAUGGCGAUUUGAGGAUUUAAAUCUGCGAGACUCUAGAGAUAACCCCUCACGUGCUGGGUUAAAUACUCUUCCAACGCAUAGGCACGACGGGUGAGGUUUGCGAGUAUGGUCACAAAAACUCCAUGGUUGGUUGCUGUGGUCUCGUUGUGCAUGACGGGGCCAGGCAUUGUGGCUGGGUUCGAGGCUGUGCUGUGCUGGGUUGGGGCUAGCGUGCCUUUUUUAUAGAAAAAGGGAACGGAGUCUUCUCUCGCACGCUUGCGAAUGAGACACCUUGGGUGUUGGUUGCUGGUGCGUGAUUGACAGGCUAAGUUGAUAGGUUGGGCACCGACUGCCAAAAGGUGUCGGGUCACUGUGUGGUUAUCUUGCACGAGAAGCUUGGCUGGGUUUGGUUAAGGUCUGGUGGGUUGGUUUGCCUAAGUUUUUCGACCUAGUUAAGAUAGGAUUAGCCAAUGGUCAGCCUGGCUCUGAUACCAAGUCUGUCACGACCAGUUUUCCGGGUAUAAAUUUCCAGAAAAGACCGUCAUGCUCAUCAGCCCCAGGAUUACUGUUAGCUGAUGAGGCUCCAACUUGAUACAGAAAUUCCAAGCAAAAUACAUAAUAUGCAGUACAAGACCAUUCUAGCCUGUGAGUACAACAAAUGGUUUCUAGUGGUUGAUGGCGGAAGCGGUUUGUGGAUCAUCAGUGUCUAUGGGACUCCAAUUCCCACAGGAACAGCUGACCAGGUUAACUCCUAUCUCCGCGAGGCUGCUAUUUCCAUUGCUUAGGUUCUGGGGCUGUCAUCGCGUCGCUCCUCUCCGUGCAAGAAAAUCUGGCCAAGACAAUAGCCAGGGACAAGCCAGUGAGUACUUUGAAUGUACUCGCAAACAUUAUGAACACAGGUAUAAUAUAACAAUGAUGUGCUGAAAAUAUUUUAUGCUCAUGACAUCAGUCACAAAAGAUAAAUAAAACUCUGAUACGUGCAAGCAAGUUAUUUAUAAAAAUGCAAUAACAUAGUAGUAUUAAAAAUUAUGAAAAUAAAUAACAAGCAAUGCCACAGUCGGGCGUCUUAGCGACACCACAUAAAGGGCUUUAAAAGAAAUGCCACAGUUGGGCGUCUGAGCGACACCACAUAAAGGGCUUUUAAAAGAAAUGCCACAGUCGGGCGUCUGAGCGACACCACAUAAAGGGCUUUAAAAGAAAUNNNNNNNNNNNNNNNNNNNNNNNNNNNNNNNNNNNNNNNNNNNNNNNNNNNNNNNNNNNNNNNNNNNNNNNNNNNNNNNNNNNNNNNNNNNNNNNNNNNNNNNNNNNNNNNNNNNNNNNNNNNNNNNNNNNNNNNNNNNNNNNNNNNNNNNNNNNNNNNNNNNNNNNNNNNNNNNNNNNNNNNNNNNNNNNNNNNNNNNNNNNNNNNNNNNNNNNNNNNNNNNNNNNNNNNNNNNNNNNNNNNNNNNNNNNNNNNNNNNNNNNNNNNNNNNNNNNNNNNNNNNNNNNNNCACAGUCGGGCGUCCGAGCGACACCAUAUAAAGGGCUUUAAAAGAAAUGCCACAGUCGGGCGUCUGAGCGACACCACAUAAAGGGCUUUAAAAGAAAUGCCACAGUCGGGCGUCUGAGCGACACCACAUAAAGGGCUUUAAAAGAACAAUCAUAGUGAAUAUCCCGGAGGUAGAACCAUCCCAGAGAUACUUGAUGAUAACAAUAAUAUCACGGGUUAGUCAACAAUAAUAAUAAUCAUAAUUAUCACAAGUCACAAGUAGUAAUUCCCGUUCUGGUUUAACAGUUUCACCUUCGAAGACCGACACUAAGACCGACACUUGACCCAUCCCAGACUGUAAUCCUUAACCAUGGACACAGCUAUUCGAAUAGGUUUAAUCUCUGCAGAGGGUGUACUCUUUACCCACGAGUAACGGAUUUCUUUAGUCCAUCGGGACUAAUUCCUUCUACGGUCUUUUUGUUGAAAACACACCUAACUUGCACACACCAGCUUAACUCACACGUGUCUGGAAUCACCCACGACACCUGUUAAGCAAACUCUAAGUGGAGAGGCUACAACCUCGCGUAGCAUGGGAUCAAAUUUAUAUCGCGCGCUCUAAGGGGUGCCCCCCUCUCGGUCCCAACCGGAAACACCCAUGCCCCCGGACCAGGUGGCCUGCCUACCAGCUACAACCGGUAUCUUCCACCUUGGCCUCUCUGUACGGUGUGUGCUAGAAAGAGGUUGACAGCUUACUGAACCAUACUCUACUUGCUGUAGAGACGAGUGGUAGUACGAAACAAGUAUGGGGGUUACUGGCACAAGACUCGAUCUACGGUCGACUCAGGAGGUUUAAGUAUUCCCUGCAUGAUUAGCAUAACGAAUAUAUUUCAACCAACAGAGUCACCGCUCAUAUCACCUUACCAUGCCAUACCAGACAUAACCGUCCCGACGGAGACCGGCAAUAAACUCAUGCCUACCCAAGGCAGAGGUUUUCCCGGGUUCCUGCCGGUAUGCAUGCAAGGCACAUGAGGGUGAUUAUCAUCACAAGUGUGUUCAUUUCCAACAGCAUGGAAAUCAAUAACAUGCACCCAUGCAUAUGAUCAUAUCACAUGAAAUAACAAGUUUCUCCAAAGUGAGGUGAUGUUAUGAAUGUGUCAUCGAACACACAAAAAUAUUAUGCCAGGGUUCAGAAUGCUUGCCUUCAAGGUGUGGAGAGGUGGGGGGUGCUUUCUAAAACUUUUGAAAGUUUUCUUCUCUCUCUCCAAAAUCCUAUUUUAGAUAAAUUGGAAUUAACACACAUUUUCAAAAUAGCACAAAAAAGUUGUCUGAAUUUUUUUGAAAUAAUUAUGAAAAUAAACUAGACAAUAUUUGGGAAACAACAGAAAAAGAAUCAAGUCAUUUGGGUUUAUAUUUAAAAAGUUAUAGCCAGUCAAAGUUCUGGUCAAUAUCUGUUUUUAAAAUAAAAAAUAGAAAAGAAAACGUUUCAGACAGGAAUACGUUUUCGGAGCGGAGGAAACGUACUUUGUGGUUUCACGUCUUCACUUAAGUCACGUGGUGGCGGGGCUGGGUCACUGACAGUGGGUCCAGGGGGCCCACUGGUCAGGUUUGACCAGUCGCCCCCCCGCCUCCUUCUUCCUCUGGCCGGACAGAGGUGAGGCUCCGGCGAUCAAUGCCGGCGAACGGUGGCUUCUCGCGGGCUCCGGAGGGUCGGGAUGGAUCCGCCACCCCGGGGCGGUCUUCCCGGUGGUCGCUAGGGUGGUGGGGGCGAAGGGAGUCACCGGAGGUGAGCCCCGCGGCGGAGGAAGCUUCGGGUGGGUUUGGGGCUCUGGGAUGCCGUGGCUCCCAACCGUGUUUGAGAUGCUGGGCAGCUCCGCAGGGUCAAGGGGAGUCGAGCGAUGGUGUUGGAAGGGUGGGGGAGGCUCUGCUGGCGAUGCACGGCACCGGGGCACAACAGCGGCCGAGCUGGCCGGAGACGAGGAAGAUGGCCUCCUGUCGUCAAUUGCGGGUUGUAGGAGUACCAGUGGAAUGGUCUGAGGCUGCCUGAAGGCUUGGAUGAGCUCGGGGCCCCCCUUAUAUAGCGUAGCCAUGGCGGUUCCGCGGCCGUGGAUAAGGUUGUCGGCGAACCGCCGCUCUGUAGCGGUCAGGGCGACGUGGUGGAGGCUAGCGGGGUCGGGAGGGCGAGCGGAUGAGGAUGGACUGCUCACGAGGGCAGCUGGCGAGCAGAGGAGGCUCGGGCGGCGCCGUCCACGGCAGGGGUUGCUGUGGCCGCCCGCUAGCCGCCGUAGCCGACCUGACGGCGGAGCUGUGGAGCUCCAGGGGCAGCUCUGUGACGCGGGAGGGGUCGGGGGCGUCUACUGGGAGAGGGGAAUGGCCAGAACGAGCGCGGGGCGUCGGCAGUGGGACGCGGCGGCUCGGUGCGCGCGCGUGCAAAACGUGCGCUCUAGGCGCGCCCAGAGCAUGCACGCCAAGCGUUCGGCGAAAUGCCAGAGCAUGCUAGGCGGCUAGGGUGGAGCUAGGGAUUAGCAGGUCUAGGCUAGGGUCCCCUAGGAGAUUAGUGGACAUGUUGGUUUGCCCAUAGGUGCAAGGUCACAAUGCAAAGACAAAAUCAUGUCAAAACUGGCCAUGCACACCAGGUGUUUGACAAAAUGCUAAUGGCAUCUAGCCAACUCUUGGGGUGGCCCAAAUCUUCAGAUCAAAGUCUCUUUAGAAGCAUGAGAUGGUGGUAAGGUUAGUUGGCCAAAUUUAGAAACUUGUUAGUGCAAAACUUUGAGAAAACCAAAUCUGGUUAGAAAGAAAAGUAUAUGGUUUCAUGGACUAAAACUGCUCCAAUGGGUUCACUCUCUUGGAAUUAGGGGUUUGGUAAGGUGCACUACAAGCAGGAGAAAGCUCAUGGGUAAAGGAGCAAGUUAGAAGAUGGUUGUAGUACAAAUCAUCAAGUUAGACCAGAAUGAAAAAGAGGAUGAUUCACUCAAAUUUUUCAAAGAACAUAAAUGGGUUUUUGCACAAAGUGGAAUAAUAUGCUCCUACUGACCUCCCCUAAUUUUGGUAGAAGUUUUAAAGAAAUAUUUAAAUAGGUUGUAGUGUAAAAUUGCCCACUGGACCAGAUUUGAAAACUUGGUGUAGAACUCAAAAUAUCCAAUGCAUGAAAUAUCUUUUUGCAUAAAAGUGAUUUAAAAGCAUCACAUGACAUCUCAAAAUUUUGGUGGGAUUUUUAAAUAAAUUUAUCAAAGUGUUGCAGUGCAAAUGGAACCCUGAAAUUUAUGAAAAAACAAUUUAGAGAAAUAAAGCUCGGGGAAAAUAAUAAUUAUUAUAUAGAUAAUCCAACUGAUAAAAGAAUUGUUUUUCCUAAGAGGGAAAAUAGGUCCAAUAAUGACUGAAAAGUUUUCACUUGGGGUCAAAACUUCAUAAUAAUAAAGAAAAGAAUGGUUCUGAAAUCAGGAGAAAACCCCAAAACUAAAAGUUUUAGUUUCUUGGCAAAAUUUUAAUUAAUAAAACAAGGUUAAAAUUUUUGGGGUUUCACAUAGCCGUGGGACGACAUGCGCGUGUGGGCUGAGCCCAACCCCGCUCGUGAGAGGCUCGCGAGGGGGAGGCGGCUGGCGCGAACCCCGGAUCAGGGCAGAAACCAGAACGCCAAAAAACACACAAACGAGACAAGACACCCCUCCCCGCACACGCAAACACAAAUCCAAUUUCAAAUUAAAUCUGAUGCAAGGAUGAAAGGAUCGAGAAGAGGUGUCUAGAGGGGGGGGUGAUUAGACACUAAGUACCAAAAGUUGCAGUUUUUAACUUCUUUAAGUUUAAGUGGAGUUUAGGCACAAGUUUAACACUCACAAUACAUACCAAGCAAGCAUGCAAAGAGUAUAUGAGCAGCGGAAAUUAAAGCAUGCAACUUGCAAGAAUGUAAAGGGAAGGGAUUGGAGGAUUCAAACGCAAUUGGAGACACAGAUGUUUUUGUCGUGGUUCCGAUAGGUGGUUCUCUCUCAGAAAAUGUAUGCCGGAAGUGUAGGUUCGUUCUGAUGGCUCUCUCCAUGAAUGAAGAGUGGGUGGAAGGGUAUAUAUAGCCUCCACACAAAAUCUAACCUUUACACACAACUUGCCAAACUCGGUGGGACCGAAUUGAGAAACUUGGUCGGACCGAUUCAGCAAAUCUAGUGACCGUUAUGAUUUUCGGUGGGACUGACAUGCAACUUGGUAGGACCGAUAUGGUUAGGGUUAGGGCAUAAUGUAAUCUCGGUGAGACCGAUUACACAAACUCGGCGGGACCGAUUUUGGUAAUAAGCUAACUAGAGAGUUGGUCAGGCAAACUCGGUGAGACCGAUUACACAAACUCGGCAGGACCGAUUUUGUUAACAAGCUAACCAGAGAGUUUGCAUUGUAAUCUCGGUAGUACCGAUUACUUAAACUCGGUAAGACCGAAUUUGGUAAUGGACAUACACAGAGAGAUUACAAUCCCAUGUCGGUGAGACCGAGAUCCCUAUCGGUGAAACUGAUUUGCCUAGGGUUUGUGGCAGUAGCUAAGACAUCUGAACUCGGUGGCGCCGGAUAAAAAGAAUCGGUGGGGCCGAGUUAGACUUUUGGUUUAGGACAUAUGUGGAUGUGAGAAAGUAGUUGAGGGCUUUGGAGCAUAUCACUAAGCACUUGAGCAAGUAAGCCAUUAAGCAACACCUCAUCCCCUCUUGAUAGUAUUGGCUUUUCCUAUAGACUCAAUGUGAUCUUGGAUCACUAAAAUAGAAAAUGUAGAGUCUUGAUCUUGGAGCUUGAGCUAAUCCUUUGUCCUUAGCAUCUUGAAGGGGUUCCACAUCCUUUAGUCCAUGCUACUCCAUUGUUGAACUUGUUUGAAACAUACUAGGUAAAAGUGUCAGUCCAACAAGAGAUAUGUUGACAUUAGUUACCAAAAUCACCCAGGGAGGACUUGUGCUUUCAAUCUCCCCCUUUUUGGUAAUUGAUGACAACAUACAUCAAAGCUUUAGAUAAAGAUAUAGAGAAUAGCAAGUAAAGCUUUGGAAAGGCAUGUAAAAGGCAUAGGCUCCCCCUACAUGUAUGCAAUCAUGCGAAUAUGGAAUAUAAGAGCAUGUGAAUGCAUAGACAUGACAGAGUAAGCAAUGUGUUACACGUAUCUUGGCUAUAUGCAUCAGAGCAAAAGAUGUGAAUAUGGGAAAUGUACAUUCAUGCUCAUGAGUCCUUCUUGCUAACAGUAUGUACAAAAGCAAGAAUUCCUCACACACAUGAUUGUGAUGCAUAUACUUACCUUGUGGUCUUGAGUUGGCUUAGGAUGAAAUGAACCUGUGAAAAUAAGGUUAGAUAACACAGAUGCACUUACUAGCCAAAGCAAACAAAAGAAACCACAAGAGAACCAAGACUGGGAUGACAUGUAGAGAGUGAGUACUAAGUACCACAUUUGAUAUAGACAUGUCCCCAAAGGUAAAGAUGUGCAAUGAAUUUAAAGAAUUUUUUCCCUUAGAUGUCUUGCUCCCCCUGAAUCUAGCAUGGGAUACUGGGAGAAGAUAGGGAACAGAAAAUCAGAGCAAAAUCAGAGCUCAAGGAAACAAAUGAACAGAGCUAAUGCAAAUAAGCAUAUAUGAACAUGUCUUUCCCCUCAAGAAGACAUGUGGCAUCUCUCCUCUUGAACAACAAGCAUCUGGGAUCCUUGAAGAUUACUCUCUCCUUGAGUAUUCUCUCCCCCUAGAGAUGUGAGUAUUCUCUCCCCCUAUAGAUAUGAUGAAGCUUUGGUGUGAUCUCUCUCUCGCCCUUUGACAUCAAUUUCCAAGAAGGGUCUUCUGGAAUUUGUCAUGAAUGGGUUUGGUCCUUGAGUCACAACACAAAGCACUAAGGUAAAUGUGAUGCUUGUAGAGGAAAAGAUUCAUUGAGUGGAGCUGGAUCAAAAGAAAUGCAGGAAUAAAUGGCAAAAUGUUUUUCCUGUAGUGAAAUCGGUGGCACCGAGUGGUAUGCUUCGGUUGCACCAAAAGGAUUCGGUUAGACCAAAAACAAGAGACCGGUGGGACCGAGUUCAUCAUAGAGAAAACUUUUGUCACCUCAGCUCACUAGACAAGUAAGAUCUCACAAGGAUUUGUAAGGAAUUGGAUGCAGGGAAUGCAAAACAAAAUAGAAAAGAAAAGAAAUCUAGAUGAAGUUUUUUUUUGAAAGUGGAAACAAAUAUGCAUGAGACAAAUGCGAGAGCACAGAAAAGAACACGAGAGAACUUCAUCUAGAAUUGGUCGGCGACAAAGUCACCUAUGUUAGAGUAUAUUGACUUAGGAGUCAAGUGAGAUCACUUGAUCAUAGGUCAUACUCAUCGUUUAAGCUCAAAAUGGGGUUACCAUUUUUAGUUUAAGCAUCUUGAUGUAUUCACAUCUUUUCGAGUUACUUUGACUCAUGACUUGGAUCAAAGCUUCUCUAAGAUGGAAUAACAUACCUUGGGUGGUGGUGUUGAUCGUAAUCAUGUAGUUGAACUUGUGUGGGUUGCUCAAGGUUGAUGUAGCUCAUCAAGAGUUGGGAGCACCACUUGGAAUUUGAGUUCAUCUACCUACAUGGAUUAGUUCUUGCAAGGAAGAGCACUUGUGUAUCCAAAAUGAUAAUCAUGAAACUCAACAUAGAAUUUGUCAAAGGAUAUGUUUGAAUGGUUUCGUGCUUCCUUGUCUUCAACCACCAUUGUGUAGAGACUUGGUGAUGUAGAGGUUGCUCAAGAUGUGACUGAGUUGCAAUCUCAUAGACUUACAUUCAUCCAAGUACCUACAUGGGUUAGAUAACAUGCAAGGUGCAAAUAUAUCCAAGACAUAAGACUAUCAUCAUAAGAGAAAUAUCAAGGAUUAGUCAUAAGCUCAUGUCUUGCAUGUAUCCAAUGGAGUUCCUACUCCAAGUUUGAAGCAUCAAUGGUGUUCAAUUCACCUAUUAACCUGCAAAACACUCUUUCAUCAAGUGGUUUAGUGAAUAUAUCCGCUAAUUGCUUUUCGGUGCGAACAUGCUUAAGAUUAAUGUCACCCUUAGCAACAUGAUCUCGAAUGAAAUGAUGACGAACUUCAAUAUGCUUAGUUCGAGAGUGUUGCACGGGAUUGUGAGCAAUCUUGAUAGCACUUUCAUUGUCACAAAGUAAUGGAACAUGUUUCACAUAUAUCCCAUAAUCUUUAAGAGUUUGGGUCAUCCAAAGUAAUUGAGCACAACAUGAACCAGCGACAAUGUAUUCCGCUUAGGCGGUGGAUAAGGAUACCGAGUUUUGUUUCUUGGAAGACCAAGACACAAGAGAUCUACCAAGAAAUUGACAAGUACCCGAAGUGGACUUUCUAUCAACCUUGUCACCGGCAUAGUCCGAGUCGGAGUAGCCAACAAGAUCGAAAGAGGCCCUCUUAGGAUACCAAAUGCCAAAAUUUGGUGUAUGGAUUAAGUAUCUCACUAUCCUUUUCACGACCUUAAUAUGACAUUCUUUAGGAGCAGCUUGAUAUCAUGCACACAUGCACACACUUAGCAUGAUAUCGGGACGUGAAGCACAUAGAUAUAACAAUGAACCAAUCAUAGAGCGAUAAACCUUUUGAUCGACCGGUUCACCAUCUUUGCUCAAAUCAAGAUGUCCACUAGUAGGCAUGGGUGUAGUCAUACCUUUGCAUUCUUGCAUAUUGAACUUCUUGAAUAAGUCCUUGGUGUACUUCGUUUGAGAAACAAAGGUACCUUCCUUAGUUUGCUUGAUUUGCAACCAAGAAAGAAUUUGAGUUCACUCAUCAUAGACAUCUCAAACUUCUCCGACAUUAGCUUCCCAAACUUUUCACUAAAAUGAGGGUUAGUAGAACCAAAUAUAAUAUCAUCGACAUAAAUUUGG
rnacentral:lncRNA from 1 species